rnacentral:lncRNA from 1 species
AGUAAAUGGUGACAAUAUAAUGACUAUCCCCUUGUCUUUUGUCUUUUUGUGUGAUGCCCUUCAGUUGGGUGACUUUAUCUGAUGGAAUUUUGAACACAUUUAUAAUGUAUCUGAUAUGGAACGUACUUUUCUUUAUGCUUUAUUCUAUCUGUAGCAUAAUUUGAUUAUAUGACAUAACCCUCCUUGAUUAACACUUAUAUUCCUUGAAAAAACUGGAGUCUUGUUUCAGGACAGGGAAGAGAUUUGCUGUAAUCAGUCUGGUAUUGCCUUUUUUCUUGGAAACCUAUUUGAAAUCCUAGUGGUUUAGGAUCUGAAUUAUACUGUUUUCAGUGUAGCAUCUUCAUAUUUGCUGAUAGGUAUAUAAGUAGGGUUGCCUAUCAUUCAUAAUUUAGGUAAGUAGAAUGAUGAUAGGGUCCUAGGACAGUGGCUUCAAACUGAGAGGAAUCAAGAAAGAUAACUCAGGAAAUGGAAGGGAAAAUUAGAACUGAAAUAGAGAAGAAAGGAGGUAGAGGAGAGCUUCCAAGUCAGUGUCGGGGGUGAGUUCGAGGGCCGCUUCAAGCUCUCCCACUGACUUCUUGUAAGUCCCCCAACAGUAGGGAGCCCUCAGGGUCCUACCCAUCCACUUAAUCGGCUCUUUGUCCCAUUGGCCCUCCUGUAUUUUACUGGCGUAAGUCGCCUGGAUAAUGGGCCUGGUAUGUUAGUUGCUUUGAGAUCAAGCCUUCUGCACGUCUCUGAAGAUGCAUAUGUUAGGAUAGAAUAUACUGUAACUGUUUGGUUGAGGUUCUUACUAGAUCCUGAUAGUGUGUAUGUAUAGGAAAUGAGGAAACUUUUUUUGAUUGCAAGAUGGGUUUACCUUUUGGGAAUUGGAAGGAUAGUGCGUUCCAGGACAUAUUGUUUAGUUUCUUAUUUUGGUGCGAGUAGCUUAGGGCCUUUUUGAGAGAAAUCGGUCCAAAUUAAUUAUUCCAGUUUCUUAGAUUUAAGCAUUACAUGCAACAAUGCAGAGGAGCUUUGAUAUGCAGUUUAAUAAAUUGCUUGCUUCCCCUUUUCAUUUUUCUAGCAAUUGUUUGUAGGGUGGACCUCUGUCAUCAGGCUAGUGAUGAAGAUGAUGAAGAAUAUGAUAGCUACACCGAAGCUCUGUUGGAAAAGGCAGAAAACGAAGCAGGUUCUUCACAUGUGGAUACUCGACGCAGAUUUUGUUCAUUCUGUUCAAGUCAUAUUGGAAACCGUCAAAAGUUUGUAAUCCUGGUAUGCUACAAAAAUGUUUAUUUGUUAUAUUUCCACGUUAUUUUUGCUUAAGUUUCUUGAAAUUUGUGUUGACCAUCUUGAUUGGAGCAUAAAAUGGUGUUCUACUUAACGUUAGUUGUACUGUUGUUGUAGGUGAUUGUGCUGACAUUUCUUUUCAUGAUUGCAUUCGCAAUGCUUAUCUGGGUUGGGAAAGGCAAAAACCCCAUUGACUCCUCACUUAUGGCUAAGGUAAGAAGUUAUUUUCCCACAUGUGGCUUACACUUUUUUCUAUUGCAAAUUGAAAGAUGAGGAAAGACAGAAUGGUAUCUUUUUAUGAACUUUUGAGUUUCGUGUGCCUAAUAAUUUUGUCAGUUUUCUAUGAUCCAAAUGUGUUAUAUUUCGUAACAUAUUUCUUGUGAACAUAUACGGUUUUAUAUCUCCUAAGAGGCAAUCAAUAUGGAACUCAUGUUCUGGCUUUACUGGAAGCUUUUGAUACAGAUCGUAAUGAAAAGGUCAUAUGUUUCUCUCGGUUAAUUUGUGAAAUAGGUGAUGACCUUUCUUCCCAUCUGAAUUGUUCCCCCACGUACCUUUCUUCCCAUCUGAAUAUGCCCAUUUUUGAUAUUUUACAUUUUAUAAAUUUUAAUUCGCAUACACUUUCUUCUUAAAUAUACAGCAUCUUUCUUGUUUCUGUUUCUGUAAUAAAUUUUUGUCUAAAUGUUUUAUAAUGCCAUCAUAGCUGCUAUGUGAAUACAAGUAUCUAAUAAUGAAUGUCACAUGCACCUUUAUGUUACGCCAGUUUUUCUAGAUGUGUCUGGCAUCAGCCAGUAUUCGUAUAAAAGCUUUUCUUGUAGAUGUUUCUGUUCAAAUGGUUUUUAACUAUCUUUUAAUUACAUCGAGCUCAUACUGUCCAUUAAAUCAGAUUUCUUACUGGUUAUAUUACUGACCUUGAGUGUACUAAAUUCCUUAGUUGAUCAAGAGCUCUUUAAUCCGUACAAAAAUUUGUUUUUUCAGUCGAAACCAGGUAUAGGUGUUAAAUGUUGUGUUAUGAGUUUCUUAACGUUUGUCAUUUUUAUUUGCUUUGACAUUUCAGUUUUAUCUAUUGGAUGUAUAAUUCCUGAUUUUGUUUGCUUUGUAACUUAUCUUAUGCAGGUCUAUCUAGAUAUCUUUUCCGUAGCAAUUUUUACUCUAGGCGGGGCUUUGGCUUGUUAUGGUAAGGAAAUAUAUUCUCAAUGGUGUAAAAAUCACAUAAAUAGUAAUUCAGCUAUUCUAUGUAGUCCCAUAACUUUGUAUACGAUGAAAGUUCGUUUAUUUUCCAAGUACAUCAAUAUCCUUCAAUAACUGAAACUUUUCGAAGAAAAAAAAUGCCCUAGCCACAAUAUCUCGUCUAUACAUCUGUUAUCAUGCGUCAGUAUUGCAAUACUCCUGAAUUGUCUGAAAUUGUCUAAAGCAUGACGUGUCCUAGCCUGGAAUCGUCUGAGCUUGGCUACGUUUAGGUGACAGUUGUAGACCGCCAAAACUAAUAUCCAGUUGACAGUAGGAUAUGCCUUGCUUGAGAGGGCUUCUUGGAGGUUUCUUCUGAAGGUAGAAAAUCCAUCAGUAAAACAAAAUUCACAGCUACAUCAAGGAUUUAGGUCAAUGGUCAAGGAGAACAUGCAACCCUUAAAUCCAUCGUGUAAAAUUGAUAAAUUCAUAGAUUCUUCUAACCCAGAACCCUGGUCUUAGUGCAAUACCUCUGAUCAUUUGGUUAAAUUCGAUCCCCAUCAAAAUCAGUGAGAUAAGUACUUUUUAACUGUAUUAGAAGGAUUUUGUUGCACACGUUUUGGAUCAGAGUAUACCUGCAAUAAAAGACAUAAUCAGAUUCUUAAUUUUUAAGCAAAGAGUUUGCUCUCCUAAUUUGAGAAAGAUAUUUAAAAUAUGAAAUUUCUUAUAUUUUUUGUAUUAAGUUUAAGAUUAUAACUCCAAUAGGCUUGGGUUAUUUUGAAAGAGUGACCUUGCUUAAUGAGAACUCUUCUUUAGAGCUCUGAUACCAUUCACCUAGGCUGAUUUCCCCACCAUGGAUGACUCUUCUACUAGGGUGUAUGUUCUUAAGCAACAUAAAUUUAGAAACACAAACAGGGCGAUAUUUUGGUCUAUGAAGCCCCAAUGCAACGAUUGAUUACCUUAGCUUGUGAUGUUUUUAAGUUUCCAAAGCAACAGCUUGUUCCCAGGAUAGACUACAUUUCUCUCUGUAAAGAGGCUCCCUGAAAACGUUUGAACGAAUCUGCUAUUCAUUUAUCUCAAUUUAUUUGUAAAGCUGCAGGUUUUUGGUUGCCAUUGAUUUCUAGCUCCCACUUAUUUCUGCUCAGCCUAAUUUUCCAUUGGAUUAUGAGGCCAUUGAAAUGCUUAUCCACUGCAAAUCUGGGAGCUGUAUUCUGCUUGGAUAGGGCUCAGUGCUUCGGAUGAUGCUGUACUCUUUCUGCUUGUCCCAUAAAUGAGAUGAUUUGAACUGCCAUCCAUUUAUUUUCUACUUCUAUUGAUUUUAGUGAUUUGAUGAGUUAUUACUUUGCUACACGGGGAGUAAGCAGAAGUCUACCUUUGAUAGUGAAUGAUAUACACAAUGAAUCUAUGCAGUUUUUUUACCCUUAGAUUAUAACAUUCUUCUUCUUAAAUCGUGUGAUAAGCUGUGUUCAAAUUUUGUGGUUGUCCCAUAUAGGAGGGCUACUUUUCUCAAAAAUGAGCAAAGUACGGUCUGAAAUGGCUUCAACAGAAAUGUGGAAGGUAUCUUUUUAUAAUCAUUGAAAAUUAUAUUUUCCAGUUCAGAUGAGGCAUGAAUGAAUCUAGUUAUUUCCAUGUAAAGGUAUUUCCGAUUGAAAGUUUAUGGGAAUUGCAGGAUUGAAAGUUUAAUUUGGCACUAUGCAUCUUAGUUACCAGCCGUUUUUACUUGUUUCUUCACCUCACUCUGGUCAUUUAUUGUGGUUUGUGUAACAUCUUUUCUAUUAACAGGUUGCCAGUUUGGCUGCUGUGACUCUUGUAUGUUUUACGACAAGUGCACUAAUAGCUCUUAUUUCUAAUGUUCCCGUAAGUUCUUCAUCAGCAUUUUUUUAUUUAAUUUCAGGUAAACGUAAUAUUUCUGAUUUGGUUUAAGUCUUCAUUUCUUGCCGUAGGUUCUCUAUGACCACAAACCAGAUGCAUAUAGAAGAAGCAACCCGAUUCCAUUAUUUCUAUACUAUUUUGUUGGUAAGUUUACAUAUUUUCAUUGAACCUAUGUUAGUGACCUGGUAUCGGGGUUGAGCAUAAAUAUGAGAAUGUUCAAUGCGUAUAAUGCUUCAGCUGUAUUGCCACUUUACAUGGUCAGGAUUUACUUUUUGCUCUAUGCUUCGUUACAUAUUACAUGUAUUCUUUGGCACCCAAGUUUAUCUUUGUUGUGAACAGUGGCACGAACCUUAGGAGGAUAUGCAGACGAAAAGCUCAAACUCGUAUUCACAUCAUAGAUGACUAUUAUAUUCAAGUGCCAGCGCCAGAAAACAAGGAAAAAAAUACGUAACAAAUAGGGAAUCAGCAAACUAGCAAACGAACCAACAAACCAGGAAAUGGUCCAACUAAGAGCUGAACUCCUAGUUAUACAUUCUUUUCCAUAAUCUUCCCAAAACGAAUUUGAAAUUGUAUUGAAGCUUGGGUUUCUUGGAAAUAUUCGGUAUUAUUAUUCCAUUCAUUGCUUAGGUUCUUGAUGCUGCUCCAAAUAGUUGCAUGAUAGGAACAAUCUUCAAAUAUACGGGAACUUUGGACUACAUUGGCCCUUUAUUGUAGAUUGUUGUGGUUAAAGGUUCCUAUUAUCCUCUGUACUACGGAUGCUCUGAAAUUGAGUAACUGGAAGGAUUGAUGGCACUGCUACACUUGGGUAUCUACAAGAGUCACGGUAGCCAUUGAACAGUCAAGCAGGUUUCUAGCUGGAAUACUAUAUAAUCUCCAUUAAAGAUGAUAAAUUCUACGUAUGUUUUGGCCACCGUGGUUUCUUCCAGGGUUGGACAGUUAAAUAAAAUCCAAUCAUUACUCGUACUCUUCAUCCUGCACACUCUUUUUUCUCGAUCUGCCACUGAGCUCCGUUUUCUCUUAACAUAGAUUUUGGUGUUCGCCUUGCUCCUUCCCAAACGUACUGCAUUAUUUCCUGUUGUCACCUUUGUUGCUGCCCAGCUUUUAUUUUCCACCAUCUAUGCCAUCGCUCUGCUUCGAAGUAAGUCUUUUAGAAAUGUGGGCUCCUUAGAUACACACCCUGAUAAAAUUUUAGUUGCACUUUUCCUUCUAUAUCAUCCUCUAAAGUUUGCACUACUGUGCGCCAUUUCUUCUAUUGGCUCCUGUUGGCCGGUCUCUGGUUAAUUAUUCACAAGUGGGCAUUAUGCUUGCCUUUGCUCAUACUACAGCAUGUCCCCGUGAUGUGCUCUUCUUACCUCUUCUGAAAAUGGCUUUCCUUGAAUACCCCAUGAGGCCCCCAUUGUCCUUAUUUGACCUUUUCCUCUCUCUCCCAGGUUCAACGCUGCCCUCGGUGUUCGUGCUCUGGAUAAUGCGAGAGAUGCCUCGGCAGGUGAUUGACAGAGAGGCCCGGUCAAGAGUGGUGACUUUCGUCAGGGAGAGGUCGUCUUCAAAGCAUCACCCACAACCCUGGACUACAGCGACGACGUCAACAAACCAGGUCCGGUCCAUCGUCGCUAGAACAUCCAAAGAUCCAUUUGGGUGUCGCUCAAAUGAUUCUGGUUGAGCGAAUCAAUUCUCGCAUGUGUGUGAACUUAUCCUCUGCAGGCCUCCAGAGCAAGCCCCGCAUGACAUGCAGCCUCUCUCCCUCGAUUUUCCUUCAUUUUGGAGGCUCGAGCUGUGCGCUGCCUGCCUGCCUGGCUUGAGCCUCUGAGUCUGCCAAUGGCCGCGUGGAGGUUGAGGCGUGGAUCCUGGCUGAAAAUGGCAUCCAGCCCAGGAAGCUAGAUCCAUUCUUCUUCACUUUCCUGAAUGAUGGAGCGAGCCUGUUGAGCCCCUGAUCCCCAGAUUUGUGCCAUCGUUCAUAAUCUCUGAAAGGUCCUCAGUAGCCCCACGUCAGUGUAAAUAUACCUAAUCAGCCACUGUGAUUUUUUAUGGUGGGAUACAUUCUUCUCCCUUUUACUUUGUUAAGGUUGUGGAUCGCUCCAACUGUUCAAUCCCAUUUGGGUAUUUCCGAUAUGCAUGGAGCUCUUACUUCUUACUAGUUGUCUCUUAUGUUGGUCAUGAGCUUGGAGGAGAUGGAGAGAGAGGCCAAGAGUAGGUAUAGCAUAUUGUAGAGGGUGAUUAUUGUAGAGCUUUUAAGAGGGGGAUAUGGGGAGCAUGAGCUAGUUGAUAUAUUUUUUACCUCUUGACUUGAGUAUUUCCUUCAUGUGUGACUUGCAACUUGUCACAAACUUUCUUCGUUGUCUUGAAGGUCAUUACUCUAUUAUAUUCUUUUACAUCUUAGCCCAUUUGUGAAGAUGUUUUUGGCUUUGGUAUUGAGGGAUAAAAUUUUCCCACAUUGAUUUAUGAAGAGAUAUUUAUUAACUGUUAUUGGUCUAUCUACAAUAAUCUCUCAUAGUUGAUAAUUCAUCUCCUAAAUAAAUAAUUUCAUUUUAUUUUUCUAAAAAUCAUAAUUUGUUCCAUUCAAUAGGGGUGGUUGAUGUACUGAUCCUCUUUCUAAAUUGUAUCAUAAUGUGUUGGCGAUUGAAUUUACUCAAAGAAAUUUCAUUCUUGUAAUCUAAAAGUAGACUCUAAUAUCACUUGUUGGGAUUUAGGUUAGUAAAGAUCAAGAAGAGGGGUGAAAUUGAUCUGCUCGUUUUUUCUUUAAUAGAUUUAUUUCUAUGAUUUUUUUAUCACUUUUUUAUUAGACUGAUUUUAGUGGGUUGUGAAUGUGGACUCACAAUUUAAAGUGGUUCAACAUCGGCUUAUCUUCACUCCUAAGGACACUUCAUGUUAUUGGGUUUCACUUAAUGAUCGUUCAUAUUAUAACCACUUAUUCUACAAGUUAACUCCUUUAGGAUUUCAUCAAGAAACCCUCUUCUAGAUUUAUGGCUCUAGGAAAUCUUACAUCGUUAUUUUCACUUGACAACUCCUCAAGUGAUUAGAUAAAUAAUCACUAUUUUAACUGACAAAUAUAAAUCAAUAUCACUCUAGGUUUAUUUGGAGGAUAUGCUUUGAAGCACUAGCUUUUUGUAAUAGUAGAAGACAAAUAUACAUAUGCUUGAAUCUUUAUUUUCUUGUUAUUUUUGUCAAUUGUCACAAUAAUUUGAAGGUUUGUCAUAAGUUCGGCUUGAAGAUAAAGAAUAUCUUGAAUGCUCUCCUCAAAAUGAUUUCUUUUGAAUCAAUAAAUAGCUAGUUGACCCAUCCUCUCUCUCUCUUUCCUAUGAAUGCUUUACAUGAGGAUUACUAAAUACAGGAAGAAUAUAUAGAAGAAUAAAUAUAGUCAUUAAUGAUUGUUUAUUUCUAUUGGAGAUCAGUGAUAUUUAUAGAUAAAUUGUGUAUACGUUAUUUAUAAAUUUUCUAGGAUAUCUAAUGACUAGAUUCACUUAAAAUAUAAUUAAAUUUGAAACUUAUAUUAAUCCAAUAUAACAUGGCCUUUUGUUGUUUUGAAUAUUUUCUAAAGAAACUACUACAUGAAUCUUUUAACACAAUGUUUGUAUCUAAUGGUAGUCUAUUCAUAGAAACUUGAUAAGCAUCUAAUAUACAUUGUUAUGAACUCGAUAUGAUGUCUUACAUAAGUAAUAAUUUAUUGAAUUAAAUAAGAUAUGAGAUGUAAAUAUGCUUUGUAUUCUUCAAUUUCAAUGUCUCAAAUCAUGUUGAUAUUGGUCUGUAUGAUUUUCAAUAUAUAUUUAGAAAAUCCUAUUUGAUGAAUUCAACACUCAGAUUAAUCAUACAAUUAACUUGACAUGAAAAUCAUUCGAUUGUUAUAAUGCAAAGUCAUAAGUUUGUACAAAACUAAAUAAGCUUCCAUACUAUUUUUUUACUUUACCAAAUCUCAUUGAUUUGCUUAUUCAAAUCAUUACUCUUUUAACUGUUAUGAUUUCUAUAUAUAAUGACAUUCUCAUAUAACGACAUACAAUAUGAUUGAUUUUCAUAAUAUUAUGAUUUGAUUGUUCAUAUACAUAUCACAAGUGUUUUAUAUUUAAUAUAUUUUCACUUGUAUGCCCGAAAUCAUAACAUUCAUACUUUAUGUAUAUAUUUUCACAUAUUAGAUUAUAAUGAAUAUUAUAUAUAUGAUGUAUUUAUCUAUAUUUAUUCACAUAGGUUUAUUUUUGAAGUAUAAUUUGCUAAUUAGAUUAUUCUUAAUUGAACUUUGGUGAUUUUCUCAUCAUUAAGAUAUGAUGCCUCCAUAGCUCCAACAAUUCUUACUAUAAUAUAUGUGUUAACACAUCUACUAACAUAUAAAUAAUUUGAAUAGAAAUUUUAAAAAAAAUAAAAUCUUUUAAAAACCUCAAUUAACCUUAGUUUUAACAUUUCAACUAAUCUUAGUAUUGAAAUAGACUUUGAUAUUAGGUAUCCAACGUAUGACUAAAGAGAAUAGAAAGUCAACCUUAUUAUUCAAAAAGAAAGGAACAUCAAUAACCACUUGGAUAAUAACAAGGUUUAAAUUAUUAGAUAUGGCAACAUUAGUCUCAAUAAUCAUAUUUCAAGUGAAAAUGUAGUAGUUGUAAAAGGUCUAAUACACAAUCUAGCAAGUCUUAGUCAAUUGUAUAAUAACAGAAACAAAGUAGAAGUAAUAAAUGAUAGUUGUUGUCUCUUAAAAUUUGAAAAUAGUAACCACAUACUAGUCGAGUAAGAGAGAAUAGUGUAGAUGUUUUUCAUUUGCAUAAAUUAGUUUUUUUAAUGAAUGUUUAAGAACUAGUUAUUCUAAAAAUGCACUGAAAAUUUGGCAUAAACAUUUAUAACAUGUGAGCACUUUCACCAUAAAGAAAUUAUAGAAAUUAUAUUUAGUGAAAAUAAUUUAUGAAUUAAAAAUCAAUAAUUACUUUGAGUAUGACACAUAUUAAAGGAAAAAAAGUUAAAAAAUUAAUAUAUCAAAAUAUAUGAUUGUGCCAAGUCAACUAUUGUAAUUAUUGCAUCCAAAGUCCCAUGAUAUGGAAAAAGUUAUGAUAUUAUUUUGGGAACACAAUGAUUCAGCAUACAAAUUGAAAAGAAAGAUUUAAAAAUCCAAUGAUGAUUUUAAGUAAAUUAUGAAUGAUUAUUAUGGAGAUUUUAGAAGUAAAAUAAUUUUAGAAUCCAAUGAUGAUCAAGAACUUUUUUUGAACGUUUUUGUCUUAGAACGUCCAAACAAAGUGGAGUUGUAGAAAGAGAGGAUACAACUCUUUUAGAUAUAUCUAAGACCAUGAUAGAAAAAAAUAAUGUUUUAUUAUUAUUGGAUUGAAGCUAUAAAUAUUGUAUGCUCCUUUAAGAAGAGAAUCACGAUCAAGUCUAUAGUGAGAGAAAACGCUCUAUUUUUUUAGAAAAUAUUAGUUAUUUUGUUAUCUUUUGGGUGCAAGUAUUAUAUUGUUAUAAAUGCUUCAAAGGAAAUGAGAAAUUUGAUAUAGGGACUGAUAAAGAAACUUUAUAAGACUUUUUUAAAGUUAUAUCACAAUUUAGAAUUAGUUAGUUUCUGAUCUAAUUUUUGUAUUGUAAUAUUAUUUAGCCCAUUUUUUUCUGAAGUUAUAAUUGAGUCCCUAUUUGUUGUACUAAUCAAACCUGAAAAGUUAAAAAUAGUAAAUAUGAAAAAUUAUGACAUUGUAAAUAGAAAGAUUAGUUGCUUUGUCCAUGAUAAAAGUCAAAUAUCCCUGACUCAAAGAUUACGACAUUGAAAUGGAAAAUUUCAAUCCUAUUUGUUUGUACUAUUCAACUAAAUAUUCCUAAUAAUUGCAUCGUAUGCUAUAGAGCAAAUCAUAUAGCUGCAUAACAUCAUUUUGUUAUAGAUGAUGUGAAUAGAAAUGAUAUACAAUUACAACUUUCUACAAACUAUAACAUAAAACUUGACAUUUCUAGUGGAAGAAAGAUACAAUUUAGGAAACAUGAAAAAGAUUGAAUAUGUAGUGUUGCUAAGGUACAAUUUGAAAUUUUCUAUAGCUUCAAUAUAAUUAUCUUUUGAUUAAAUAACUUCUAUGAUAAAGGCUCUAAACAUAUCUGCUGACUUUAAAAGUACUAAAUCAUUGUUUUUAAACGAUUAGAACUAUUGUGGCUAGAAGAGUUGAUGUAACCUAUAUUCCGGCCCUAAAUUCACCUGGCCCAUAGUAAAACGUGCCUUAAAUGCAUUAUAAAUUAAUUUCCCUUUUUAGUCAUUUUGAAUUUAAUUAAAUGUGUCUUGAACUAAUUUUAAGGUAGCAUAAUAAUAGUGCUAUUUUCUUCAGGGCAGCCUAACAAACUUUCAAAAUAUUUAAAUUUCCCAUGUCAUAGAGGUAUUAUUUAGUAUUCAUGAAGUAUCUAUUUUGGAUAUUUUACCUCAUUAUCGGUUGCUUAUGGUCCCUCUCUUGUGGAUUCAAGUGAACUAUUUUGAUAUUGUAUAGUCACAAUCACCCAUUAUGGAUUUAAACGUCAAAUCAUCUUAGUUUUAAUCAUUUAGAGUGAAGAAUCUUCUCAAAAAUUUUGUUUUCUGUGAAUUCAAGGAUGAGAUUUCAUCUCUACUCAACUCCAAAUGUGUAAAAAAUGAACUAAGUUUAAUGUAUGUGAUUAUUAUAUUUGUAUGCACACACAUGUCAAUCUUGGAAAAAUGUCAACACAAUACUUUUGAAUAACGUUAAGUAGAUUACAAGAAAUAUGUUCCACGUUACUCACAAUUUUAGCAGGAUGCAACUUCCAAGGCUAUAACCUAGUAUUAUUUUCUGGUCUAAGUUGGUAAGUUGUAGAUGUAUCUCAGUUACACUUGCUACGAUUCUCUAAUGUCAGGUGAGGGGCUUGAGAACUGGAAGAGCACGGCUAGCGUAGUCGUCAGUGUAUUUUAGUCCGAUGUCGUGGACUUCACGCAGUUGUCGAGGGCAAUGAGGUCUGGAUCCACCGUGGGGCUGCUGGCGAAAUCCUAAAAAUUGGGUCUUUAUGAAAAUUGAAGUUCCGGACUGAAAGACUUGAAGGCGUUGGGGGUUUUCACAGUGAGUUUGUGAAACCUUCCUGUUUCGGCACAAAUUACCGGGUUUGGGCCGGAAAUACCUCCCGCGACCUGCUUGCCCUGCGAGAAGUUGGUCUGCCCCGCUCUCUUCCCCGUCGCCCCCUCUUCUCUCGCCCUCUCAGAAGCCUCAUGCUGUUGCUGGCAUGUUUACAUCUUACUCUCUUCGGUCUUCUCCAUCAUAAUUUCUUGCCGGGGCUUAUCCCCGGUCGAGCGUUCUGUACUUCUCCGCUCUCUGAGGCUUAGUAUCAUCCUCGAAGGUGUCAUCGCCACUCAUUCGUUCUGCAUGGGAACCUCGGUGACGUUAAGCUGGAGUUAUUUCUGACGUACGCUCGGUACCCGCUCAUAACUGUGGCGCGUCUCGAUUUUCAUAGAGAGAUCCCCAGGUUUCACUCUUCAACCAUUUUGUGAAUGCAGUAUUCCUAAAACUGGUUAAUUUUUGCUUUUUGAGAACGACCUUUCGGAAGACGUAAGUAAUUUUCUUAUAGUUCCCAACUGAAUAGCCAAUGCAAUUUCCUGCACAGUUCAUUGUCUGACAUUCUUAAACCUGUGCAUUAUAUCUUAUAAAAAGUGCUGCAUAAAUACCAAAAAGAGAACAGCCUAAGAGGGAUUCAAUAAACGACUCCAGCCAUCUUUGCUCAUAAGCAUUUUCCAUUACAUUGUUUGGAAGUGGAAGAGCCAUCUGACUAAGAUUCACCAUGGUUGCUAUUCUAUUGAUCUUUUGGCAAAAUAGUGCAAAUUUUCUCUCCCAUUUCGUGAAAAAUGGGAGAGAAAGAACUUUAUAUUAAUUAUUCAAAUGACAGAAAAAAACUUAUUUAGGAAGAAUGCACAUGUUUAGCAGACAUGUUGCUACUUCAUGCUAUGUCUUGAAAACCGUUUUUCCUGUUGUUUCUUUGAAACGAAAAUUUUGAUCUCAUCUUCUAUAAAAUGGACUGCUAUGGUCGAAAGACAACCCGUUGAUGAUUCUCAGUCAUGGCUGUGCAGCAGUUUCCAUGAAAGACAUUACUCGGACAUUAAUUUCAAGCAACCGGAUGGACUUUCCUUCCUGGACAUCGCUCAUACGGGAGAUUGAGGAAACAUCCGCUGUAUGCUUCAUUCUUCCUUUGGCGUCAUUGUUAUAAAGUUUCGUACAGACCAUACAUUUCAAAUAUGUUUAAGAAUAGUUACUGAGAAAUCAUAAAUGCAGUGAGAAAAUGAAAGAUGAAGUACUCAACUUAUGUCUCAUUGUUCACAUUUAAAGCUAUUUAACUAAUGUGAUGCAGGAAACCAGUAUAGCACCGGCGAGCUUUACAUUGUUUAGUCAUCUAGGUCUAAUUUUGCGUUAUACCUUUGUCACCUUCUCUGUUUUAUAGACUCUUAGGCUGUAGAAAGCACAUUCAAUACCAAGAAAGCCCUUACAGAGAGAGUCUGACAAAGCAGACCGUCCAUUGAUGACAAUUUACCUUUUCUAAUUGAAACAAGAAACUUACACGGGCUGGAUCCUUGUUGAUAUCUAAUUUUUUGGCAUAUUGGUUAUGCGAUAGCAUUGGCUUUAGAAUAAAAACCAUAGGUGCGCGAAGCCAAGUAUAAGCUCAUGAACAUAUAGCUGUUGAAUUUCUUCACAGUACCUACUUGGGUUCUCACAGAUCUUCAAGGAUAACUUAUUAUACUUGGCAGGAGGAAUCCAGUAUAUGAAGCCUUUGAAUGGGGUUUAAAAACACAAUGGUUCUUGGCUAUGAUUUUAACAUUCAAAAUGUCUCAAGCUUAAAGAACCAAAGAAAAAAUCUCUCAAAUGCAUCAAUGUUCUCUGAAGUCUAUGGGAGUCUUCAAGUCCAAUUAUUUUGACCACUCUUUGUGGAAUCUGUAAGUCUAUUCUGGUUGAGUGAGCUUUGCAGUAAAUAAGGCUUUGCUUAGUUAUAAAAGAUUGCAUAGUACAAUAGGUUCGGUCUAUUUGUUUAUAAUUGUUAAAUUGACGUGAGUACUGCAGAAAAUAUCACUCUCUGGGCUCGACAGUGGAUGUGAAUCACUGUUAGCAGGUUCCCUAAUUGGUUUUGAUUAUUAUUAGCAAUCAGCUUUUUUUGUACUCUGUACUUAGCACGAGCAAUUCAUACUCACUUCUUAUUGAUAAUGUUGGUGAUUAGGUAUGGCGGAAUAUAGAUAGUUAGAUCCACUUUAGACCCUCCGCAGCCUUUUUCUAUGCAGCAUGAUUAAUAAAUAAAGUCUGGUAGGUUUAACGCAUGCAACUUGGAUGGUAUGUAGUGCUUCCAGUGGAAGACUGGUGAGUAAGGUAUAAGAACGUGAGAGAAGAACAAAUCACCGAUCAACUUUUCCUAAGAAGAAUUGGUUUUAGCCCAUGUGUUGACUGGCCAAUGCCCAUAAAACUACAACUUCAAAGCAGUAGGGAAUGCACAGCACUCUGCCUGGUAGUCUGCCUACCAUAGCCUUUAAAUCCCCUGAGGGAGUCCUCAUAAUUUAAGUUUCUCAUAAAUUAUAUUACUUUUCUCUGGCUGUCUUGAUGGGGCCCCCCCUUUUAUCUUGUACACGGGCUAAGACAUAUUCCCCUUAUGAUAUCCCCACAGUGGAAACACUGCUGCUAUUGCAACGGCCCACCCACGGAAGCCAUCAUGUGGUCAGUCUCGCCUGGUUCCUUUUGCUUCUUCCUAUGUCCACCUACUGCUGUCAUUCGUGGUCCAUGGACAGUGCCAUUGGAUCUGAAAGUAACAUGCAAGGAACUGUCAUGCCACACUGACAGCUCCUUUUUGACAUGAAUCGGCUUUUGUGAUCUAUUCAAUGAGAUCAUACGUUGGGCUGUUCAUAUGUGAUGAGAAACUUGUCUGGUCAAGUUGGGAAAAUAGUCAAGUUGAUCUCUUACUUUUUUGAUGGCAAUUAUUACUAUAGGUAUGAAGCUGCAAGUUCACAAAGAUGGUGGACAAUGUAUCCCCUGGAGGUUGUAAAAUACUGUAAAAAUUGUGGAAAAUCAAGGAAUAUUCAGUUUACACAUCGCACUAUUGACUUCGAAAGACAGGAAACAAGUAUAUGAGUUGGAGGUAGUUGGUGUCAAAGUGCUCACUGAGACCUUUGUUAUCUAGGAAGCUGCUUGAUAUGGAUAUCAGUUCAUCAGGACUUGUCCAUAGCGUGUAAUUUCUGCUGAUCAGAUCCAAGUUUUGCACAUCUAUGGUGAAAUCAUUGCUUAGGUGAAAGCCCAGUGAUAAUAAUAAUGAAAUUAAUCAACAUGGAUUAGCUGUGUGCAUUUUAGUAUAUUUUGAUCGAGAGAUAAACACUAUCUUAACUGACAGAGGAAUGACAAAUUAUUCACGUGAAAAGAGGCCAAGCUUGGGAAAGGUAGGGUGAUGUCAUCCAUGUAUUGUUAGUGCAUAAUCACUGUGGCUAGGGAAGUACUGCUGAAGAUAUAUUUGAAGGGUUGAUCUUUUAUUACUUUCUUUUUCACUUGAAAAGCCAACUAGUUUCAGAGCCUGAAAUUAUAAGAAUUAAUCCUUAAAUAUUCUCUGAUGUGAACGCUCAACUCAACUCUCUGCUGAUAUAGAUGCAUACAUUUUUAUGCACAAAAUCUAAAACUCAGACUUGAUGCAAAUUAAGAGCAAUUUCGUGGUGCAACACUGCAUCCUAGGUAUUAAGAAUAUUAGACCUUCAAAGUCAACGGCUUACAACCUGAAAGAUUUUUAUUUGUUGUCUUAUUUUUUGUCAACUCUUUAUUCUUCUAGCAAUUUUUUGAUAAAACUACCUUGCUUUUGAUUUGGAGUUCAAGUGAACUAAUUUUCUUUUUUGUUGCUUACAUUACUGAUGUAUUUUGGAUCGAAUGAUGAUCAUGACACACUCAUAGUCAUAUCAGUUUUAUGUUUUCUAUUACAACUACAGGAUGACAGUGGUGCCACAUCAAGAGUUUAUGAAUCCUUUUUAUCAGAGUAUCCUUUGUGUUAUGGUUAUUGGGAGAAGUACGCAAACCAUAAGGCACGUUUGUGUUCUGUUGACCAAGCGGUUGAAGUUUAUGAAGAAGCUGUGAAAGUAGCUACGUAUUCUGUUAAUCUAUGGGCCAAUUAUUGCAGCUUCGGUAUGCAAUUUUAUGAAGAUCUUGACGAUGUUCGAAGGUAUUAUAUAUCUUAGUAAUCAUGGUUAUGUUUUGAGAAACAUUAAUUGUGAUGCUUAUUUAUUCAAUUGAUGAUGUGAAAACAGAACCUUUCAGUGACAAAUGUUGAAGCAUAUGGAAUAUUGGUGAUAGAAGUCAUCCCAUUAGUGAGUUUAAUAAUUAAGGUGUAUAAGUACGGUUGCUAGUGAAUUGACAAGCACAUGAUGAGCAGUAUCUUUUUUGGAAUACUGUAAUUUCUUUGUUUAUUCUGAUGGUUACAAAAUCACAGUUUAUGCCUACUGGAUUGAGAUCUUGACAGUCGAUUUGCACUUUUCAACACAUUGAAUUAAAAUAGAGAGGAUGAUGCUCCGAGUUGGCAUAGGUGUUUAAAAUACCUAUUAUUCUCAGAAAUAAAAGAACUGUUGAUAACAUAUCUACUGGUCUCAACAAAUCUCAUUAAGAAUUAAAAUCAUAAUACAUAGAAGUAGGAAUUAAUCUAGGUACAAUGAUAAAGUUGGUCAAUGAAUGUGUUGUAAUAUUGACAGUUUACAAGAAAAGAAUUAGGACUGUAGACUUAAAAAUUAAGUUAUUCAGGGCUUAGUAUCGAAUGAACUGGUCAGUAAUCUUCUUGAAGAGUUUUGUGGAAAGGAAAUCUUAACGACAUUAAAAAUGCAGCUAAGAUGGUUGUGCCAUUUAUGCAUCUCUCCAUCCUGAAGUACUGUCAUACCUUGUAAAAGACAAGAAAACGAAAAUUUCAUACGGUUAUAGAUGACAGAGGCCUCUUACUUGAUGUCUAUUUUCAGUUGUUUCAUCGCCAAAUGUCAAAAAUACACUAAUUAUGUAGGAAAAGGGUAGGAUGAUAUAAAAUUUUAAUAACUUAUGAUUGAAAGAGGGUCAGCAAUGUGAGAGGAAAUGAAGAACACUGGACGAUGAUGGGUGAUCAAAAUUUAAAUCACGAAAAAGAUGUGUAAUAAUACCGAGGGUGAGAUUCUUCGUACCUAUUUCAGGUGAAGGUGUUUGGACGGUCCCACCUAAAUUGUGAAAGAAUCUUCUUGAAGGCGGGAAUAUUAGCUGAUGUUGUGCUAUUACGAUGAGAUUGAGAAGUAGCUGCUACUAGUUUGAUUUGGUGAUUCUCCUUGCCACAGUAAAUGAGUACUCUGAAGAGAUACCAUGCUGAAAUACUCUUCUUCGAAGGGGCUCUAUUGACAAACGUAUUCUGUAAUUAAAGAUCAAAUAAAACUAACAAGUAACAUCAUCUUAGCAAAUUCCUUUAAAGAUGUCAUUUAGUUUUCUGAACAGGUCUUUACAUCUGUAUGAAUGCUGUUGUUGAGUUUUUUUUCUACCGUGGCUUAAUUUUCAUGUUUCUUUUGCCAAAUUACCUUUAUGAAUGGAUUCUUUUUCAAGCUGUUGUCCGGAUGUGUCUAGUACCCAUCACGUGUCUUCCUUUAUCACUACAUGUGUGUGUGUCUAGAACCUUCUGAGGGGGCUGAUAUAAAUACCAGACCCCCCUCUCUCUUGUAUGAUUGAUUUUGUUUGAAUAACAGAUGAAAUUUUCCUUUCUUUUUCUGUGCGUGAGUUACCAUACAGCGCACAGAACUUGAUUCAAGAUUCUACAAAAACGAAUAUGUUUAUUGACUAGCCUGUUUAUAUUUUUUCAAGUACUUUUUAUUUUGUCUUUUUUGGUCUAACAGCCAUUUCAGAUCAGUAUAUUCAGCCAAUCAUUAAAUGCGGUUCCCACUGAUCUUGUUAACAUGCAUUUGGUAAAUGAAUGUGAAUCUAUUUAAUUUUUUUCAUGAGAAAAGAGUCAAGGUGGUAAGGUCAUUGUUGGCUAUAUAUAGUUAAAAAUAAUUCUUCUUAUAUAUUAUUCCCUUUUUAGCUGUUGCACUUUUUUAUUCAUCGUUGCUAUCAUCAUUAUCCACAAAAUCACUUUGACCGGGGUUGAGCUUAUGAAUCCUGUUGUGCCAACCUACGCUAUCAUUAUCAUUUUCGAAUUCUAUAGGUACAUUUACUUUUUCGGCCCUUUCUGUGAAAUUAUUGUUAAACCAAGAGAAAAAAGUGGAGAUGUCCAUUCCUUUUGUUAAUUUCGUUGUGUGGGCAGGUUGUAUGAAAGAGGUUUGACAUUUGUUGGAAAAGAUUACCUAUGCAACACUUUAUGGGAUCAGUAUCUUGCAUUUGAGCAUUCUCAUAAACAGUGGAAUCGCCUUGUUGGUGUUUACAUUAAAAGUUUGAGAUUUCCAACUAAAAAAUUGCAUAGUUAUUACCAGAGGUAUGAUUCCUAUGUUUUGACAAUUAUUUCUAGUUUUAAUAAUUAUAUCUUAUAUUUUGAGAAAUGUUUACUAUCUGAUCCGUCAGCUUCAAGAAGCUUGUUACCAGCCUGGAAGAAGAAAUUAAAUAUCAAAAUAUUUGGAUGGAUUUAACAGAAGGUUCAGUAGCCAAUGAGCUGGGAGACUUGAAUACUGUUAAUGAUUCAAGAAUCAGAAGUAUUAUCAGUUUUCUUCUUGAUCAGCCAGCUGCCCUCUAUAGAGGUCAAACGCUUAAGACAAUUUUGACAAUUGGGGAAUAUUUCUAUCGGAGAUCAUCUGACAUUGAUGAAAAGAUUAGUUGCUUCGAAUCUGGGAUUCGAAGGCCUUAUUUUCAUGUAAAGCCCCUUGAUAGCAGUCAGCUGCAGACCUGGCAUCGCUAUCUUGACUUUGUUGAGACACAAGAGGAUUUUGAUUGGGUAUAAUUUCCCUAUUUUUCAUCACUGUUUUAGUUAUUGUUCCCUUUCGGAUGGACAUCGACAAUGUCUAUUUGCUUUUAUUUACAGACUGUGAAACUGUACGAGAGAUGUUUAAUUCCUUGUGCUAAUUACCCUGAGUUCUGGGUUCGCUACAUUGAACUUAUGGAAGCAAGUGGAGCUAGGGAGAUAGCAACUCACGCAAUCGAACGGGCAGUCACAUCUUCUCUCAAGGUAAAAAGUUUAAAAGGACCUAAUGACCCUAUUUCGUUCCCAAUAUAAGUUCACACAUUUUUAUAUAUUUCGUCAAGUUAUGUUCAACCAUUUCUAGUGCGAUGGUUGUGUCCUAAUCCUCAUGAUUUAUUUGUUGAUGGUGAAUUUGUGCUAGGUUACAUAUAACUGAGGAGAUAUAUCAACCAUGAUACUUGACAACACAGUACUUAGAGAUAGAGUGAAAGUAGGUGUAGAAAACAAGUCUUUUUUGAGCAUUACUCUUUGGUUUGGAUACACCUGAAUCUUAAUUUUUUAGUUAUGCAGUGUGUGGGUGCUGUCUUAUGUCAAGGUCUGGAUAGUUGGGAAUUUGUUUCUGAACUUCUGGGUCCUAAUCCUAUCCAAGGUUGGAAUGGAGUGGCCUAUCUGCUGUCUAAGGAAUCAUAAAAGUUUUAAAAAUUCAGAAAAUAUGAAAAUCAUGAGAUUAUUCAAUGUGAUUUUAAAUUACUUCCACUUUAUAUCUAAAAUGAAUAAGUAUACUAUGAAUUAAAAGGAUCAAAUUAGAUGAUAGUAGAUGAGCAAUGUGGUACAGAAAUUAAAUGGUAGAUGUACUAUGUUAGAGCAUGAGUAUAGGUAGAAAUUGUUGGAGAUUGUGAUGCUGGUCCUAUUUGGUUAAACAUUUUGAUCACUAUGAUGCAAGCCAUCAUUUCUUGAUACCUUUCAGAUAUGUUCUGAAAUGUGAUUGAUUUUACCUUGCUUUCCAUAUUUGUUGGUCUUCCUUUUAAUCACUGUAUCCAUACUUGCUAUUGGACUAUGAAUGUGUAGUUCUAGACUUUGAGGUAAUUAAAUGAUCCUCUUUGUCGUUCAAAUGCACAUAGUUUUGUUUUCUUGCUUUAUUUGUUCUUAGCUCACUGUGCUUUCUUGCUUAUUGUAUAUGUGAUCCCACUUGCUUAUGGUGUAGCAUGUACUAAAUCAUCCUUCUUUCGCUAAUAUCACUUUUUUACUAUUACCUAAUAAGGUUCUUUUCUUUUUUUUUUCUGUUUGUCUUCAAGGACAGUAGAGCCACAUGUUUAUUUUUUCUUUAUCAUAAUUGACCCUUCGUGUCAAGCUAAACUCAAGCACAAAUACUGAUAUUGAUCAUUGAGAUUGAUGUACUGAUUGUUUGCUAGUCAGGAGAAACUCAAUUUUCAGGUCUUUCCAUAAGUUUUUUGAAAUAAAAAUUGAAGGUAAGAAAUGUAGGCUAUUGCAGAGCUCCUUACCUAUGUGACCACUGCUAGUCGAUUGUUGUGUUAAUAUAUCAGUCCAUUUAUCAUCUAGUUCGUGUAUGGAUAUCAUUUGAAUGCACUGCCAUGUGAAUGUCGUUUAAUAUCAUCUAUAAAAAAUAUGUUGUAGCAAAGGUCCUUUUUCCGUUCACUAGAUACAAGCGAAGUUGAUCACUUCUCAUAACCUUUAUGAUAUCGAAUUUCACCGAUUUUCUCAAGCAAGGCAUAUCAUAUAUUAAUCUGAACAACUGGUUGGAUAGAGCCCUAAAUGACCUUUCUAUCCUGGAUUCAGCUUACAUCUACAUCAGGAUCAAGUACCUGCACAAAUAGGAGGGAUGGUGUAAAGGUUCAAAAUUUUCCAGUUCACUGAACCGAAGAAUACUCAGGUUAAAUACUUCGAUUCCAUGUGAAAUAUCAAUCUUUGUAAAAAAAUUUGAGAUAUUCUUUGCCAACGAAAUCAGUGAGGACGUCACUAUGAGUCCCUGGAUGCGUCAGAGCUGCUUUUGGGAUCUUCUUCUUAAGCCUGGUUUUUGUACAAUGAACCUCAGAGAUGCAGGGUAUGCCACAGGGUAGAGUGGUUGUGCCUAGUGAAGCAGUUGUGCUGCUUCUGAGCUGUGGAAAUGGAUGGCAUUGUGAUGCAGGGAUGGAAGACAGAAGAGAAGACUCUAUCACUGUAAAUCUAGAUUGAGUUGGUCAGGUUUCUAAUACUCGGAUUAUCUAAACCUUCACCGCCAUGAAGUCUGCUUGCUGUAAAUCUCUUUCUUUAAUCCUAGUUGCCUUGAAUUAGUAGUCUGCUACAUGGUGUAUUAAGGUGGCAGCUGUUAGAAGAAAUAUUGUCGACAGAUGUUGGAAUUGGAAGACAGAAGAGAAGACUAAGUCCCUAUGUAUAAGACACUAAAACAAUGGAGGAGAAACUGAGGUUAUUCACUCAGGGGAAGGAGCUCAUCCAGGAUGGAGUCAUUUACUCAAAUUUUAUGGGUUGAUGAUAAAAUGAGGUUAACCGAUAAAUGUACAUGCUUGCCUGUAGUAUGUAAGGAUGGGUGAAAAUAGUUUUCCAUUUCAAUCAUGCUGCUCACUCUUCUUUCUUUUCAUUAAGGGUAUUGACAAUCUUAAAAUUAGUAUAUCUACUAGAUAGAUUUUAUGAAAUGGCAAUCACAAUGGAUCAACCUCUCAUUUGACUCACUUGCCAUUUUGGUUAUAUAUGCUUCUUCAUGGAAAGCAGAGAGUUCCACAGUUUCGUGAAUAUUGUGCAAAGGUCAAAGAGCGCAUAGGGGAUGCAUCCGGUGCACGUAGUUCUUUGCAGUACAGCGAUACAGAGUUACUGUCCAAUUUUGUUGACAACAUCAAUCAACAAGCAAACAUGGAAAAGCGUCUUGUAAGAAAAUUUCUUGUAUUUAGUUGAAACAUCAUCCAGGUAAAAUUGAGAUGAUCAUUGAUAAGUUCGUUUUUCAGGGAAAUAUUGGAGCAGCUUAUUCAAUCUACGAUAAUGCAAUUCAAAUGCUUAAAGAUAAGGAGGAUCUGCACGUUUUUUGUCUUCUCCAUCUGCACUUUGCCAGAUUUGCUUACUUGGUGGGGACUUUAGUACAGUUUGAGAGAAAUUAUCUUCUCACGUUAUAUACUUGCACACUACUAAAAUGCCUGUGACAUAACCACGUUACAAGACUGAAGAAUGGACUUUAUUCUUGACAUGGAUAGUUAUUUUAUACUGGGGCUCAUAAAACGCCGUAGUACAUUUUUCAUUUUCUUUCUUGAAUAAUUAAAACUGAUUUCUAAGUAUAUUGGUUGUUUCUGUUUACUUUCUACGUGAACAUCAAGCUCGCGUUAAAAUGAGUGCAACUGAACCUAAUGUCUUGAUAAUCUAAAUUUAAUAAUGAUUUCAUUGGACAGCUCAGAAUGUGCCGACUUGCAAUAGGUUUAGGUGUUAAACAACAUCUGUUGUUUAUAUAUAUCAUGUCUAUGGUAUGAUUCGUUUGUGUCGAACAUUGUCUCAAAGGAUUUCGCUGUAUUUCCUCGGUUUGAAGAUGAAUCAAAAGGUGGAAUCAGAUUGCGACUUUGAUAUUCGUUCUUUGGAUGAGGACUUUGGAUGAAUUUUAUGGUAUUUUACUCAAUUCAAGGAGAUUUCUUCUCCAGGUGCAUUGUAUCGUUUGUUCAGGCUUGCCAUACUGAAAAUAAUAAGCAUAUGUUCUCUCCACCUUAUUUACAUUUCGUUGGUAUUUCUGUAGUCUCCUUUUGGCAUGGUCUUUUGAUGGCUUAUUCUUUCAUAAUAAAGUGAAUUUUCCCUGCCUUAAUAGCCUAGGGCCACUCUUGAAUUUUUCUAAGUCCUUCGUGAAAGGGAAACUUUCUAUUUUUUUUGGCGUUUUCCUUAGGGAAACUGUCUGUUUAUUUGAGUCUGUCAGUCAGGUCUCCAAUAACAAAAAGGGAGUCUCGUCUUCAUUGUAAACACUUUUGAAUGAAUGUGGCUUAUGGGCCUAUAUCCUGAAUGAUUAACUGGGAUACUUAUCGGAGACAGUGUGAGGUUAUGCUCUAGUUGAUUCAGUAAUAACAAUUCUACAAUGAAGGAUACUCUUAUUAAGAAUUUUCUUGAGAGAGAACGGUAUUCCAUUUCAUUAGGAUUAUCCGUCAGCUUAAAAAUAUAUUUUCAUUUUACCUUUAGUUCAUGAACGUGUCUGGAAUUGUUCCCAGCUUACUUUAGCACCGCUGAAUAUUUAUAAUAAAAUGAAUUUAAUUGUGUAAACGUUCAGGGAAUGUAAAUACUUUGAAAGAUGAUUCAAUUAAGAGAAAUAAAGAUCCAUUGUCAACAUGGUAUCAGAGAAAUCUGUUGUCAGCAUUGUCAGCAUUGUCAGCAUGGUAUCAAUUCUCUGUGAAUAAGCGUGAUCCCAAUUAAUCGAAAAGAAUGCUUUCAAUAAGAGUAAUCUGUUGUAUUUGGUGCACAAAAUUUAGUUCGAGUUCUCAAUAGGUUUGGAUCAUUAAUUGCUUUGUUCCUGCUUCGGAAUUUCAUGACAAUAAUGUACAAGGAGACAGUUGGCAAUUGGGAAAUAGUUGUCAUACUCAUUAUCCUGAUCAUCUUUGGACUGAAUUCUACUUAUAUGUCUAUUGCUUUUCUGACCUAGAGUUCCACAUAAUUAUUCUGCUUGAUUUGUCCUGGCUAAAAAUAAAACUUAAUAAAAACAGAAAUCAGUUCAAAAUAUUUAUGUUAUCUGAAGUCCAUUCACGUCGUCAAUUACCGUGUACAUUCACGUUGACCAAUUGAAAGUGAUCAAUCUCAAAGCUUCCUGAGGAAAAAAUAUGAUAGUAAAAUUAUAUAUCCACGGAUGAUUCAUUUUUUUGUUACUACCGGUAUGUUCAAUAGAAUUAAUUUUCGAUUUUUCUCAUGCCUAUUAUCUUUCAGGUAACUGGUGAAUUAGGUGCUGCCAGAGAGGUUUUUAUCAAAGGGAUAUCAAGGGCACCUCACUGCAAAUCACUUUUUGAGGUUAUAUCAUUGAUCUCUUUUUGUGUCAAUUAAAUUCGAUUCCUGGCCCCCGUUUCUCUCGUCAACAAACGUUUUUCUCCAAAGGAUUUAACAGUCUGGUAUCAAAAGCAGGGGUGUUAUGAAAUGCAUGCUGUUCAAUAGAAGGCUACUUUAAAGUAUUUUGAAGUGUAUAUAUUUAAUUAAAAAAUUGUAUGUAAAAUCUGCAUUUCGAAUUUUUUUAAUGGUUAUAUUUUUUCAAAAAUCAUAUAUUAAAUUACCGCAGUUAUGCUUUUAAACUUUUAGUUUGAAUUUUCCUUGUUCUCAAAAUAUUAAGUCCCUAAGAAAUUACAUGUGUGUGCUUGUUAAAGAAGGAAUAGCCAUGCUAAUUGCAAGAGGGGCAAGGACGAAGAAGAGGAAGGAAAGGAAGUUAAACGAAAAACGAUCAAAACAUGACAAAACAGCAAAAGGGCACCUUUACGAAUCAUAUUUUUUGCCCUUUUAAGGGCAGUCAGUUCCUAUGUUUCUGUUCUUAUUAUAUGAUUGAUUAUUCUGUUAUGAUCUUUCUCCAGCAUUUAAUUUUUCUCCGAAGUACUUUGACUGGCAACUAGAUUAGGAAAUCUACAGCUUUACGGUUCUUAAAGUCAUAGUUACAUGAAUUUUUGGUGCUCUCUGCUCGUAAUCGGGCCAUCAAGUUCUUUACUAUUUUUUUACUUGUACAGGGAUUAAUUACAUUUAUGUCUAUCCAUGGGGGGACAGGAGAAAUUGGUUAUGUAGAUUCUAUUGUGGAACGUGCCAUAGUUCCAGAAUCAGGUGUGUCACUUGCAUUAAGCCUUACCGACAGAAGGGACGUGUCUAAUUUGUUUUUGCAGGUAUGCCAUCCUAUGCCAUUUGUAUUAUUCUGCCCUUUCUGUUUCAAGGAAAAUAGCCACUUCCCAUAAUACCUCACUAAAAAUGAAUCGUUUGCUGGGGUGGGGCCAUAUAAAGUAAGCAAAGCAGAGCUUUCUUCUUCCAGUUUCCAACGCACCAUGUGACGCUAGGGGUACUUAUAAUGCCAGAUAUCUCUGCAAUAUUUUUCAGUCGAUUUUGGAUUACCUAGUGAAGGUUUGAUUAAAAUCUUUGCGCCGCAGUGUCACUAAACAUGAAUUCUCAGAGGAUGCAGCAGCCAUUAAGACUUUCGUUUAAGAAUUUAGGGUUUUGUGAUUAAGAUUUGGGCUUUUCAAAGUUGAUGCUGGAUUUGCCGUGGAUCUGUCCUAUGAAGUUAAUGAUCCACUGUUAGACAGUUUCUACAGAAUUCAUCUCAAUUGAUAAAGCUGUGCUAGUUGGGCUAGUGAUUCUAUUUCUGUGCAUCUUGGAAUCAUUUUACUUUUUAUGAGGGCGUCAUCUUCUCCAGUACAGAAACUAUAGUGUGAUUUGUGGGUCAGCAAAAUAUUGCACAGCGAAUAACGUUGCACAGUGACCAACCUUAGGCCGGUAUGGGCACGCAGAAAUGGAGGGGCUGUUGAUCUGAUGGCAUGAUAUUAUAGUUACCCGCCUCGGCCUUAAGCUUCAUAAUUGAUGUUGAUGUGUGCCAUAUAUACAUGGGUUUAUUAUUAUUAUUAUUAUUAUUAGUUCACCCUUUAUCACAGGAUCUGAUUCACUGACAUUCAGCCUUGUGGGUAGCGAAUCGCCGUCAUUGUCCAGGUGACUAUGUGUAGAUAUUUUAGUGUAAUUUUCUCAUAGAGAGUUAUUUUCCAAACAGUUUGUGGACCUUUGUGGGACGAUCCACGAGAUCAGAAGGGCCUGGGCUCGACACCUGAAGCUGUUUCCACCUGCACAAGAAGCUGCUCCACUCGGUCGCCGUGCCGACGGUCCUGAGCUUUUGGAGAAGACCAAGGAGCUGACUGGUGCAGGAGACCCCGAUCUUAAGCCUGGGACAGGUCAUGCAGAUAGAGAGGCAUCAACUGAAGAAGAUGAUGCCCGCUCUUCAAAGAGAAAUCUUCUCCUCCUGCAGGAGGGGCCCGCUGCACCGGCCACCAAGUCUCAUCCAGCCGUCGCUGGUGACAGUACAGAGGGGAGCCCAGACCGUUCGCGGCUCCCCAGUGAAGAAGAGGAGCAGGCUAAUCGUUUUCAGGCUAUUCGGCUGCCUGCAGGCGCCGCUGUGCUGCAACAGGAAGCUCAUUCCUUCUCUUCUCUUGGUCCUGCUGCUUGCUCCGUACGCGGCGGAGGGGAGCGAACCCCACCGCUGCCGGGCUGCAAGACUCAGGACGAUCUAAGACCAUCUCUGGAGAGCCUUUCCAUAUGUCUUCCUGAUGAAGGUCAGGAAUCCAGCCCGAGCUCUCCUCGCAGAGGCCAUGGAGCUCCUCAGCCCCCCUGUGGGGAGAGCGGGCGCGAUGUUUGCAGUGACAGUGAGGCUAAAACAGCCCAACACAGGGCAUCUACAAUGCCAGCUACACCGAACAGUCGCACGCCGGAGCAAAAUCUUCGCCAAGAAAAAGUAAACGCCUUUGACAUAAGCCAACUGCCUGCAGAAGAGGCCGCUGAUCCCAAAUAUCCUCGGACCUCUGAAUGGCACUAUGGCGGGCAGCCCUCUGAGCUUCAACCCAGCUUAUCUGGAUAUGCCCAAACUCCACAGCAUCAGCAAUGGCAGGUUCCUAUGCAAUUUCAGUAUCUUCCGUACUCUGGAUUUAAUCCACAAGCUCCCCCACCUCAGGCAUACGCGUAUCAGCCACAGUUUUGGCAGCCAAAUAUCCAAAUGCCCGGCCAGAUUCAGGGCCAGUAUCAGAUGACUGCGGGCCAGGGAUUACCUCCCUGGCCCAUGUUCUGGCAAGCACAGAGUCUACCACAGAGCGGUGGAGAUGGAAGUCAGCAUCAAAUAUAUCAAUAUCAUUUGCAGGAUGGCCACGCUAUCUCCCCUGAGUUCUGGCAUUACUACCAGCAGCAGCUGUAUUAUAUGCAGCAUCUGCAGCAAGGUAGCAUCCAGGUGCAGCAGAAGCAGGAGCCUGGCCCGCAGCAGAAAAACGCUCCGUUGCAGCAUGAUCCUCUGCGACAGCAACAACAAGAGGAGCAACAUCAAGAGCAGCAUCUUCAGCUGAACAUCCUUCAGCUGCGGCAUCUACAAAAAAAAAUGGAAAUGGAUCAUUUGCAGUGGCAGGGCCAGCAACAGGAGCUUCGCCAAGCCCAGGAUUCGCAUUUGCAGCAUCAUUCACAGCCACGAUGCCAACCAGACGACUCACCUGAGUCUUCACCCACGCAGGAUCCUCCAAAAACACGACAAGACCAGCUAGAGCAGUAUGUGCAGCACCAAUCCAUUCAGCAGAAGGAUCGGAUGAUCCUGAGCCGCCAGGAACAUCAACAGCAGAUGUACUUGCCACAGCUGCAACAACAACUGCAGAAGCAGGAGAUCGGGACCUUGCGGGAUGCUAAGACCUCGAGAGAGAGUUACAAUUUAGAGGUAUCUAUCACCUGUCUUGUCUUCGUGCUAUAUUGCAGCCGAGUCUUGGAAUCAGUUUCGAAAAUUUUGACCUAAUUCCCGACGUAAAAAUCUUCUUAGGAUAUUGAAUGCUCUCUUCUCCUGAUAUAAUGUCCUAGCUUCUUCGAUUGAGUAUCAGCUGUAUGCUUCUGUGAAUUCAAAAAAGAUUACAUCACCGGCGCAUGAAUAGAAACUAAUUGGGCCAUGUUGCUCUUCAGAUUCAAGCACCCACUCGAGUUGCCGAAGAAGACGGCGCUGUUCAUCCAAUACCUGAGCCGCCGAAUGCCCCGAUCCAAUGACCCGCAGGUGGGAGAGCAGCUUUGCAUUGGCUUCAUUUGUUACAGUGAGGUCCGCAUCCGGCCUUCGUUGCCCAAGUUCAGACCUCUGGUCCGCGGAUCGUCCGUCAUCCAGCAGAUAACUCGCGAUUUGAAGGCCAUUCUGAAUCUGGCAGAAGCAGCGUCGCCGUUCGAAGCCGCUGAAGCAAUCUCCAAGCCCGCGCCGAGGAAGAGCAGCCGAGCUUCUCCGAGAAAGGGGGCUCAUCGGGCUUCGUCUUCUGGCAGAGCUCCUCCCGAGUUCCCUCUUUCUUUUACUCGGACGACUGAACUGGACCCCGCGGCCCUCAAAUCCCCUAUAAUUGUUGGAUCGACCCCCCUCGCGGGGAUGGAAACGCAAUGAUCUUCGAUGCGAGGGGCUUUCCUGCAAGGAAGACCCGAAGAGCGACCCGGAUGGGAAUAGUCAACGCUCGCAGGGCCCCCGAUUAUCUCUCUCCGCGCCCCCCCCUUUGACUAUCUCCACACACUCCGAGGAACGGCGCCUCCCGGCGGAAUCCUGCGGCAGAUUCUCUCCCUCCCUACUCCGGUCCGGCCCGUUGAAGAAGAGGAAGGGUCGUCCCCAUCGAUCCCCACUCAGCAGAUCCGAAUAUGCCGAGGAAUGCUCUCUCUCUCUCUCUCUCGCGCGCGCGCGCGCGCGCUCGCUCGCUCGCUAGCACUGCGUCGGCGAGUCGACCCCGUCCUCCGGCCGGCUGCACAUUGAACACCCGCGGCAUAUCCCCGGGCAUAUUCCCGGGGGAGCCCCAGCCGGUCCUGCUGCUGCUCCUCCCCCCAACUUGCUCUUUGAAGACGACGCCGUGCCGUACUGUGCCGUGGGAGCAGCCAAUGCGGGGGGGGGGGAGGGCCAUUUAGGAUCGAUCCCCUCCUCUCUGACGACGGCGGCGCCCUCGUCCGAGCUCGCCUAGGGCGCGGGGUUCUUCCGGCUGGCUGGUCGAGGCGGCGGAGGAUGAAGUUCGGGAAGCGGCUAAAGCGGCAGAUCGAGGAGACGCUGCCGGGGUGGCGGGACAUGUUCCUCUCGUACAAGGAUCUGAAGAGGCAGGUCCGCCUCAUCUCCUCCGACGCGCCGGGGAGGGCGUUUUCAUCGCCGCCGGGGAGGGCGGCGGUGUUGGAGUUCGUCCGCAUGCUGAAUGCCGAGGUGCACAAGCUCAACGUCUUCUUCAUCGAGCAGGAGGAGGACUUCGUCAUCCGCCACAAGGUAGGGGAGGAGAAGAGAUUGCUGGACGGCGGCCGCGGUGCUUCCUUCUCCUGAUCCGGAUCGGUGGUCUCUCCGCGCAGGAGCUGAGAGACAGGAUACGCGCCGCGGAGGAGACGGUGGGGCCUGGGAGCGCACGGCCGUCGGCGGCGGAGUACGCGGCGGAGAUGGGGAGGAUCAGGAGGGGCCUCGUCGACCUCCACGGGGAGAUGGUUCUGCUCGUGAACUACAGCAACGUCAACUACACGGGUCCUCUUCCUCUCUGAUCCUCGUCAACAUAUCUCAGAUCCUUUAGAUUCUUUCCUCGCUCGUUCUCCAAGUUUUUCUAGCAGAAUUGGCAAUUAUCGUCGGCGAUGAUGAGGAAUCAAUCGAAUCUACCCUGGCCGCGACAGGGCUGGCGAAGAUCCUGAAGAAGUACGACAAGCGGACCGGGGAUCUGCUGAGGCUCCCGUUCAUCGAGAAGGUGCUGACGCAGCCCUUCUUCACCACGGACCUCAUUUCGAAGCUGGUGAAGGACUGCGAGAGCACCAUGGACUCGGUGCUCCCUUCCCCGCCGCAGAAGAACCUGGAGGGGAGGGAGCGCAGAGCCAGAGCAGUGGCCCUCCCGCAUCGGCGGCCCGCCGGAGUAUCGUCAGGAACACGGUCGCCGCCCUCGUGACGAUGCAGGAGCUGCGGCGAGGGAGCUCCACUUACGGGCACUUCUCCCUCCCCCCGCUGAGCUUCCCCGAGACAGAUCUGCUGCAGGCCCUUCAGCUCCCAUCGCUCAUCUCCAUUCAGUGAGUGAGAUCCAUGAAGAAGCGACCCAUUUUAGCAGACACCCCCCCCCCCCUUCUGGUUCCAGACGACGGGGCGUGACGGAGGAAAAUCAGGGUCGCCCGGAGAAAGGAGAGGCCUUGUUAUCGACAGUCAGUAGUUCUUCUUUCGACGUGCUCGUCGCGGGAUGGGGGCUCUGAAUCGCCUCCCCCUUUGCUCCCCAUUAACGCGCUGGUUACUGGAAGAAGAAGACCUCCCUCGGUUGCUGGUAGCCGUGUUGCAACUAAUUAAAUGAAUAUUAUUUUUAUUCCGAUAUCUUUCAAAUCUAGAUAUUUUCCGAAUAUUUUCAAAUCUAGAUAUCUUUCCUCCAUUUUAUUAAAACUUGUUUAUUUUUUAACUGGAAGAUGGGUUUUUUUUAUUCUGCGAGAUAAGCGCCCACUUUUUAUACUUUCUUUGAUUGUGAGCCUUCACGAGUACUGGUGGCUGGCGCUUGAGAACCUCCAACUUGACAUGGUCAACAGUCAAGGUUAGGCGCGUGCAUGGAUGAAACCACAAAAACGGGUCCAAACUAGAUGACGUUCGUCCACCUGUCGCUUCCACAUACGCGUAUGGGUAAGUUGACCCAAGAGAGAGAGAGAUGGUGACGUCACUUCGAAGUUGAGUAGGCUGCAAGUCAUAGCAUCCACAAAAGGUAGCUACUCAAUAAAGGUCGGAAUCGUCAAAGUGGUGCAAGCAUGUUGUGGGUUUUGCUUCUAUCAGAAUUCAUGUAUCUUUUUUGUAGUUUCAAGAAGAAGGAAAAAAGUUGCAUCUUUUGCAGCCUAAAGGGUAGAACAAGCCCAACCCAUGUUGCCAAUUUUCGUACAAUUGAUAUUUUCAAUAUAUUUUUUUAUUGAAUUUUAGGUCGUCUAACUACAUAGUGGUUUCCCAUCCCAUGUUGAAGAUUAAUCUUUUGUUAAAAAAUAAAAUGGCUAGCAAAAUAUUUUGCAUUAAUCAUAGGAAACCAAGAAGUCAACUAAAUUAGUUUCAUUAACUUUUUCAUUGAAUGCAUGUUGGGCUUAUUGAGGCCAAAAAGAAAGAGGGUAGGGCUAUUUAAUAUUCGGCUUUCAGAUGGGUAAAGUUGGAAAUAAAUUAGAUGUAACAAAUAAGGAACAUUAUAAUUUAGGUAAAGUGGGCUCCCUAUCGACAAUCAAGGUGAUAACACAAGUGUUGCUCAUAAUCUAUAUUGGUUCCUGUUUUAUUUCCCCACUCAACUCUUUACAAAUGUUUUGUCCUAGCUCAACAUUGUUAGGAACUCUUUACUUAAAGCCGCUGGUUGCCACUAAGAGAUUUUUACCUCUGUAGAGAAGAUAGUCUAUGAAAAAAAGCUAAGUUGAACCCUCAAGCAUUAGUUCCAAACCUUCAUUUUAGUUUGACGUAUUAACAUAGAAUAUAAGUUGUUGUGUUAGCUUCAGCACCCAAAAGCAUUAUUCAAUGAGAACUGAUUUGGAGAACCAUUUACUUGUCAUUGUUAAGGUUCAUAAUUCUCCUCAAAGCAUUAUACAACCUAGAUUGAGCUUUACAUAAUUACCUAUUGACUGUUUCUUCUCUCAUAUAUUCUGAAUUUUAAAGUUCCUCCUAUGAAAACCUCACUAUAUUUCAUUAACAACUUUCUGUUGUACAACCAUUCUAUUGAUAUCUUCUAAUCUUGGUCAUUGUCUAUUCAUGAUGUCAAAGCAUAGACAUACUUAUACUAUCAUCAAAAGUGUGGCUUAGUAUACUCCCAUAUUGUAUAAUGCCAUCUUACACUCUAUAAUGCCAUCUUAAAAAAUAUGGAAUCAAAGGUGUGGCUUAGUAUACUCCCAUAUUGGUGGAGGAUCUUUUUAUAAUUCUCAUAUGUUAAAAUUUAGAAUAAACUUCUCAUAAGUUAAAGCAAUGACAUUAAUACACUCUUUCAACUAUAAAAGCACAAAAAAACAUUUUUCUAUCACUCUUUUUUCAUCAACAAAAUUUAUUUGGGUCUCAAAACCUCAAUAAUAUAGUGUCAUAUUUGAAGUCAAUAUCUAUUACACAAUCUUAUAGGGUUAAGAUUUUUAAAAUAAUUGCAAUAUCAAUUCCAUAUUUUUUUAUAGAAAUUAAGGAAUAAUGAUUUUAUAGAAGGAACAGUCUAUUAGAAAUCUUUAAAACUCACAUAAUAAUGGUACUCAGUUUUAAAGUUAACUUAAUUAUACAACAUUGGAAUUGCAAGGAGAUGAAAAAUUAGCAACUAGAAAUCUCAAAAUUUCUAGGUAAAGGAAGAACCAUCAAACAAUAUUAUUGCUUAAUACUAUACCAUUAUCUCAUACAUCAAUAAAACUUUUUCAAAGAAAAUUGAAGCCUUAUCAGUUAUUUCUUAUCAAUUUAUUUUUUAAUAAAAAUAUUUAUUAUUUAAUGUAAGUUAAAAUUUUAUUUUUUAAAUUAUUUGUGUUUGUUCUACUCAUUUUGAAUGAAAUUAAAAUUCACUUUUUCUUGGUUGUAUAAAUAAUAAGAAGUAAAGCCUCUAUUGGUUCUUAUGGAGGAUAGGGAGAAUACAAGGAGGUAGGAGUAAAUUAUUUCUUUAAAUUAUUUUCAAAUUUUGGUAUUUAAUUAUUUCUUUUAGUUCUACAUUAGGUGAUUUGGCACAUACUCAAGUUAAGUCAAUGUAGACUAACUUGGAUCGACAUAAUAUUGAGGUAAUUGUUGAGUUAAUGAUUUUGAUGUUCACAACUAAUCAUGAAAAGAAAGAAGAAUUAUUUUACUAUGCUGGUGUAUAGAUCAAGAUCGAAAUCAUUACAUCUAGUCAUUUAUAUUUUUAAAAUAUAAUUUUCUAGAUAUACUAUUACUACAUUAAUGUUGUGGAUCAAGAUCUAAAUCAUUAUAUCUAGUCCUUUAUUAUUGUUAAAAUAUAUCUUAAGAAAAUAGAUAUCAACUACCACAUAACUGAGAAGAAAAAUAAAUCAGAUUACAAAAAAAUUAGAAAGAAAAAGAGGAGAGAAAAAAGUUUCUACUCACAAAUCUGUGUCAGCCAUCAAGAAAUGAAAAAGAAAUAGACACUAGGCUGACUUAGAAAACCUUGUGUCAACUCAAGUAGAAUUGGGAAAGAGAGGUGAUUCUUGAGCCAAAAAUAUUUGUGGACAGAUUCAAAAUUGAGGAAUAAAAUGAAAGUUUUCAGACCUAAAAAAGCCUAUGUUGACUCAUCCAAAAUUGAGGAAGAGAAAUACAGUAUCAAGUCAUAAAUGCAUGUGUCAAUCCAUUAAUAGAUGUCCCAUCCCAUCCAAAACCAAAAAGAGAGGAAGUGUGUAAAACAUGUCCUAAGCAAGAAAAGUUAAGCCAUUCAACCUAAAGGAAAAGAAGAUUUGACUCACAUAAAAUGCAUUUUGACAUAUCAAAAGAUCAAAGAGUUCAAAAAGUUGGUCAGCAAGUUGGACAAACUAACUUUCGUGUAGUCUUACUAGUGGGUCAAUGCAAGUUUUGACCUAGGUAAUUUUUGAUCAAUCAAAUCGUAGAUGUUGGGAUUGUAUAAAUAAACCUUCACAUGAUCUUUCAAACUUAAACUUAACAAUUUCUCAAUUUCACCAUAAAUUCAGAAAUUAUUCUUAAAACUUUUACCAAAAGUGCAUCAUUAUCAAGGUUUUGUCAAGUGUUUAAUCAUUAGCAACAUCAAGUAGGCCCAUUCUCUUAGAAUUUGUAUUGAAAUAUAACUUCUCUAAGCAUAAAUUUAUAUGAGAAGCACUUUUGUCUUUCCAAUGAGAAAAUUCAGAAAUUUGAGUAUUAAUUCAUUCAAAAAUUACGUAAAUUAGAAUUAGGAAAAGGACUGCUCAAUCUAAAACUAGAUGAGGAUUUUCAUUGUGGCAUGUAGUAGACCGAAACACAUUAGGACAAGUUAUUAACCAGAGUAUAUGGUCAAAACUAGGAAACCUUUGGAAUUGUUGUAAAUGGAUUUCUUUAGUCCAACUAAGGCAUAAGUCUUAGUAGAAAAAUAUUUGGGUAUGCAAUCAUUCAUGAUUUUUAUAAAUUUACAAGGGUAAUUUUCUAAAAAGAAGCAUAAUUAACUCAAGGCAUUUAAGAAAUUUAACCAAAAAUAAUAAUAAUGAAAAUAAAUUGAAGAAUAAAAUUAGACAUGAUCAUGAAUGACAAUUUAAAAGUUUAAAUUAUUGGGAAAAAAAUUGGUAAUCAAAGAAAACCCCAUGAAUUUUCUAGUACACCUCAACAAAAUGGUAUUAUGGCUUACCACUAUCCUAAAUAAUUUUCUACUGAGGAGAUAAAUGGUCUAUUAUAUCAUGAAUAGAAUUGUGAUUGAGCCCCUAGUCAAGACAAUUUUUUUGUGAAUUCUAUUAAGGAAAGAAACAAAAUAAUAGUUACUUUUACUUUUUAGAUGCAAAUUCUUUACUUUGAGGACAUAGAAAAUUUUGAUUCUAGAAGUAAUGAAAAAACUAGAGUAUUGUGAAAAUUCACUUUUACAGUUUACAAUAAAUUAUAGGUUAGGAAACAACAAUUAAGAAUUUUAUAAAAGAAAUAGAAAAAAUUUUAGUUCAGGAUGAUGUGGAAUUAUUUGAAACUAAGGUUUAAGAUAUUCAAUUAGUGAUGAUGUGAUGCUCUCCGAACUAUAGGAAAAUAUAGAAAAGGAGAGGUUUUUAAGAGAAGGAAACUAUGUCAAGAUUCAUACAAUUAAUCAAAUUUUAGGGGAUUUUAAGAAAGGACUCUAAACUAGAUCAAGAUUUAAAAUUAAAAUAAUUGUGCAUUGAUUUCUAAAAUUUAGCCAAAAAAUGUUGAGUAAGCUUUAGAGAGUGAGAAUUAGAUUUGAUCACAAAAAAAGAGUUUAAUCAUUUUAGGUUGGUAAUAUUUGAACCUCACUCUCUAGGAUAUUCAAUAUGCUUGUCAUAGGAACAAAUUGGACUGUCAAAGAUACACCAACUUCACAUAAAUCUCGAAUAUGGAAUCUAAAAGCUAAUAUGUGUGUGUUUUACGUGGAUCAAACGAUGGCCCAAGCGUCGUUGGAUUGAUUUGAUGUCAAUAAUAAAGUUGCUUAUCCAUAAGAGAAGAAAAUGCAUUUCAAAUUUCAAAUCAGAUAGACAAAAGAAUGAAAUUUUUUGAAUCAAAAAAUAUAAAAAGUUGUUACCUACAUAUUCUAAAAAAUGGAAAUAUUUAGAAUUAAUUUUUUAAUAUCUAAUGACAGAGUCAAAGAAAGAAACCACUAGAGGAUGACACUUAUAACAAAAAAGAGGGUUUAGAAAAAAAGAACAUAUCUCUACAACAAUUUACAAUGUAUAUCUUUCAAAUUUCAUUCAUUAUGAACUUUAAUGAAGGACAUAAUAUUACACUUGAUCUUCUUAUGAUAUAAUGCUACAUUCAAUCUUCUUAUGACAUCAAUUUUAAAGAUUUAUACUCUCCAUCAGGCCCUAAGGUAAUUAUGUGACAAGGGCAGAGACAUUUAGGCAAAGGCAUAAAAUAUUUGUAGUCAUUUUUUGUCCUAAAAAAUUGUGGUACCUAAAGAGACUGAAUUAAAGUGGUUAAAAGGUUAAGUCCUUAAAUGAUAGUAUAUAUUUCCUAAAUAAAGUAGUGAAAUAUGAUAUAAAGGAUCUUGUGAAAUUGAAAGUAGUUAAGUGAGUAAUGAACUAGUAUAAAAAUUCUGAUUUUAUAAGUGAGAAAGAAGAAUCGUGAGAAUACCACAUAGAGAAAGAGAAAAUAUACAUAGAAGAAAAAAGAGAUGUUAGAGAACCCAUGUCAACAUAUUUAUCAAUAACGAAAAGGCACAAAUCAACAAAAAUCUAUAAACACUCAAUUCAACCCUCUCUUUUUGUAUUUCAUCUAUCAUGUUACUUUUUAUAAAUAAAGGAUCAAUUUAUUAGAAAUUUCAAGUCAUACUUUUCCCCUAAUUACACAUUUGAAUGAUUAAAUAUAAACAUGACAUCUUUUAAGGGCUUAGAUAUCAUUUUUUUUACUCCAAUAAUACAAUAAUUACACUGCUAACAUAUAUUUGAAGGUAUUAGUUUAUGCAUACUUGUAAGAGUCUUCACAUCAGCAUUCAACAUCAAUAAAUUACCAAAUUUUAAUACUUCUAGCGGAAUAGAUUAAUGAUUCAAAUAGUAUUCAAAGUAUCAUUAAUUUAAUUCCAAAGAAAUUGAUCAAAUCAUGAAUGGAAAAUAUUCAAAGUAUUUUUUUAAUUAAUAGACAUCAAGUAUAAUAUUUUAACUUUCAUCUCAAUACGUUACUUCAAUCAUUUGAAAAUUCUUAGAUGACUAGAUUAUGACUUUUUGGUAUCAUUUUAGUAAUUUUCAUCAAGUACAAUGAUGCUAAGGGAAGUAAUGAUUCCUAGUCAAUUUUCAAUCAUUAUAUUGUAUUUCAACUCAUGCAUGUCAAACAUAAUCAUUGAAAUAUCAUCUUAAUACUUAAUACAACUAAAAUCUAUUACAAAUAAUUUUAAAGUCAAUAUCAUUGAAUCAUAUGCCUAGUUCUUGCAGAAAGGAUAUGUUUUAGAAUUAUAAUCACAAUUUCUUUAAUUAUUUUUGUAUGCAUGUUUUUCCUUAUCAAAAAUUUUUUGAGACAAUUAAGACUCCUAAAUUAAAUAGAAUCCAUAAUAAUCAAAAUGGCGUGUUUUUGAGUAGUUGCUUGAACUAAAAAGCAAAGAUAAAUCUUAAAAGAGAAUGAAAAUUGAAUUAUUAUCAUCCUCCUUAAAUGUUAUAACAUAUUGGCCUUUAAAUAGUCUUUUGUCAAUUUUUAUUCUCUUAAAAAAUCUGAUUGAUGAACGAAUUUACAUUAAAUCAAAAUACUAUGAAACAUACUUUCUAAUAAUAUAGAUAUGGCAUUGUAUCCAUGCAGACUUUUAUUGGCUUAUUUUAAUUUGAACUUAAACUCAUUUAAUGACUUUCAACCUAUGCAAUCCAUAUUUUACUAUGGAGUCACAUGUACCACAUUAGAAAGUGCAUUUGAUUGCAUAGUUAACAUCUUUGAUAUGAUGAAUGACAAUUCAGUGCUAAUCAAAAUCAAAAAAUUUACCCAUAUCUACCAACUUAUCCUCAUGGUUCUUCUGAAUAUUCUACUUCUGCAAAAAAGAUAGUGAUUAAUUGACACUUACUAACUUAAUUUUACUAUGGAGCAUGAAAAAAUUUUUCUUCCUAAGUUCAUCAUUGCUAUCAUGAUGAAAACUCUCAGCCUUUUACACACUCACAACUUGUUUUAUAAGUUACUAUUUCCUUGAUCUACAUAGAAAAUCAAAAAUCUGGUCACAAAUACUGACUUUAGAUUGAAACUUGAUUGAUCACGUUGCCCAAUUUAUCUCACAAAGAUAUUCCUUCUGCUAGUCUACUUAAGCACUUUGUCAUUGAGCAUCUAUCAUUUUACCUAACCUAUGUCCAAUGCUGGCUUCACAAAGCUCUUAAAUGUUAAUGAUUAAAUCAAAGAUUAGGCAAAAGCUUUUGCCAAUAAUGUGAUGGACAUUAAGCAGUGAUUAAUUCUAGAAUUUUCUUUUUUUUUAAUAAAAAAUGAUGGAGAGGUUAUGCAUCUUGAGGGGAUCAAGCAUGUAUCAAGAAACUUUGUUUCUUUAUGACUGUUUGAUGUUUUCAUGUAUGGACCAAUUGUCUAAACUUCUGAAUUGUUGAUGUAAAAUUGUAUUCCCCUUUUCUUAAUUUAUCUUCUUUUGUUGUGAUUCCUAUGGUGUGUACUAAUUGUUGUACCUAGGAGUAGCAAUCCAAUCAUUGUGAGAAAAUUGGUGUGGUUGCUGAGAAUUCAUAAUAUUCAAAAAUCAUUGACAACCCAAAAGGAUGAAAUAUGACUAAUGGACUAAGUGAGAAAAAAAAUUAUACAGGGGAAAAUGGACUGAAAAUAUUAGUUGAAUUGUUUUUUGAUGUGCCAACAAGGGGACAUAAUGAACUAAAUAGUGAAAUGAAAAUACUGUUCUCAUUCAAUAAAAUUAGAAUAAAGAACUGAAAUGUGGAAUGAAACUUAUUUUCGUGCUUGAUGUGAGAAGCGAGAAUCAAGGUGAGUGGAUGAAAAUUAUCAUUGAGACAAGUGUUGAGAUUAUUCAGGUUUCAUUUCUUCCACUUGUUUGAACAUUUCCCCCAUAAAAUGGUGGAGAUUAUUCAUGUGAAUGAUAAUUUUAGGAUGUGAAAUCUGCGAAUUGCCUUAGUUUAACUAUCAAAAGGGCAAGGGUGGAAUCAGACAAAUGAUUUUUACAUUGGACCAUUGAGCCUCACAUAUGCUAGGAACUCAUGAAAAUUGUAAUUAAAAGUACUCAACGCAAUAAACAGUAAAUCAAGAAUUCAAAGAGUUCAAAUUGUCCUGAUUUUAUUUCCACUAAAGUGAAAAGUUAUUUCUAAAUUGUAUAAUUUAAUGUGAAAAAUAAUCUAUAUUUUAACUUGUGUUAAAGAAAGCAGGUCAAAUAAGGAAUCCAACAUAGCAGAUCUGAUGGUUUCGAAUUUUUAUGUAUUUUACAAGGUUUACCAACAUUUUCUUGCAUUAUCCGUCACAUGUGCAGUCCAAUACAGACCACUCAACUAAUUGUUGAGAUGCCUGUUCGGCCCAUUAAGCCCAGCAUAGAAAUAGGGCUUUCACCCAAAAAUGGGGCAUCAGGAAAGAUCAAAAGAUAGAGCACAGGAGUCUAUCUCUCUGCCCUCUUUCUGCUUACAGAAAUCUUCUAGAACCCAAGCUGCAAAUUCAAUGUCUCCAAGUUUCUGCAACUCCUGAUAGUUAUUUGCGGCUAAAUAUCUUUGAAAAGCUUCCUUACAAUCUUCUUCCUCAACAGCAAGAUUCAGCAUCCUAUUUGAAGGCAUGGGUAUGCCUCCGUAUUUCUUGAACUGCUAAUAAUUAUUUACCGCUAAAUAUCUUUGAAAAGCUUCCUCGCAUACUUCUUGCUCGACAGCAAGAUUCAACAUCCUAUUUAGAAAUAGGCGGUAGAAACAGCCUACUUCUGUUGGGUUUGAAUUUCUAAAGGCUCUCUAGGAUCACUUGUCUCAAGAUUUGGAGGCUAGAUAGAGCUUGAACAUCCAGAAAGGGGAGAAAACCCACAUGAAGAUAUAUCGUGCAAGGAAGAGAGUAUGAUCCCACAAAGCCGCCCCCACUUGAUCUGCUUAUUGGGCGAUAAAAAUAGAAUUUUCAUUCUCUUUGGGGGGCUCAUAUUUUAUUCUGGAUUCAAGCAACCAUUAUCAGUUCAAAGGACAACAUUUUGGAUCAUUGUGGAUUCAAGGAUCAUCAAAAUUAUUUAUUGUGGAUACAAGCCAAUGGGAUUUCGCAGUGAUUUACUUAUGUUGGUCCGUUGAACUUCAUCCCCCAAUUGACAGUUUUGUAUCCACUAAAUCAUGGUUGGUUUUUGAGGCAAGAGAUUUGUGUUUGGAGGUCAACAUCAAUCAGAAAGAAACGGUCGAGUGACGUGUCCUUGGCGAUUUCAUUAAAUGGACGAUAGAAAACACAGCUUUUGUUUGAGAUCUUCGUGAGAUUAUUCAUUCUGAUGUUCUUCAAAAUGUUUGGUUAGUGGGCUUUUUGGUAGCUACACAUGCAUCACUAUUGCCCACGUUCCUAAGAUUCCUGAGAGAUUCAGGCUCUUCUUCUUCAUGCGCCAUAAAUGGGAGGUUAACGAAUGCUGCAGCCUGGGCCCAGACUAGCCAGGGGAGUGCCAAUAGUGAUCACCGGCAGGAGGAAGAACAUUAACAGUUGAACAUCAAAGACGGGGGCGUAAAUGGGCAGGGAACAGUGGGGUGGAUAAAUGCGCUGCCACCUGUGGUCCAUGUGGACUACCACGUGGGUUUCCGAGCCGUUGUGAUGCUAUUUCCUUCAUUUAUUUCUUUAAGGGUCGUUAUUUCUCUAGGAGCUCAAGGCGACUCCCCGUGAGAAGAUGAUUUCUGUUCCAAUGGCUCUGCGAUGCGGGAACAGAUGACGAGGGGCGUCCUUCGAUUCAUUCGGCGAGAGAUCUCGACCGAUCACACUCGAACAGAAGUAAAAUGCCAUCCUUUUCAGGUACUAGAUACAAAAAAGAAGCUAAUUUUGCUCUUCUUCUGGGAAGAAAACAGAGACUCAGCUGUCUCCCCUCGUUGGUUUUCCCCAGGACAAGGGGGAAGUGAGCUGAAAACGCGCCUCCAGGACGAACACCAUGUACACGAUGAAGGAAUUGGGCAGGAGAACCCGCAGCCGGAGAGGGGAGAGGGAGAGAGGAGAGAGGAGAGAUUUCUGACCUUUCUCGUAUCCCUCGUCCUGUUCGUCGUGGUUGCUGGUUCUCGUCGUCGAGGGGGGUUUGCUUCGGACAACCCACCCUGGCUGAUCUUGUGUUGUGGUUUUCGAAGAAUUUGAAGAAAUGGAAGAGCAGGGAUCUGUCCACGGAAUGAAAAAACGGGACAUGUUCAGGGCUCCACGUCGUCCCAGCUGAGGUCCCCGCCGCCUCCGGUGACGACGAUGGCUGUGCCGUUGUUGAAGGCGGGGCACUGGUAGGACGGCCGAGAUCCGUCGCCGCCGGCGCUGGCGGGGCAUCCGGAGGGCCCCACGGGCAGCGGUGCCAUGCAGUUGUAGGAUAGGCAGACCGUCACCCCGUCCGGAAGGGGCGGCGAGACGGCGGCGCCGGCCACACCGCCGCCGGGAAUCGGAAGUGGAGAGUCGAGUCCGGAGAGGUAGUUGUGCUGAGCAUAGAGCGUCGUCAUGGUGCCCGCGUAGAGGCUGCGAACGAACUCCGACGGCAGGGUCCCCGUCAGACGGUUGUAGUUCACGAAGAGGCUGCCGGCCGCCGCCAGACCCCCCGGAAGGGGACCCGUCAGCUGAUUGUGGCUCAGGUCCACCGUCCACUUCGCGAUGGCUCCCGGCUCGACGGGCUCCGGUAUAGGGCCCGACAAGCUGUUCCGCUGCAGCAAGAGCACCGCCAAUGGCGGUGGCACCUCCUCCUCCGGGGGGCGCCGUGGAUUGAAGAGGGCACUGGGUACGGGACCGGAGAAGCCGUUCAUGGAAAGGUCGAGAAAAGCGAGGUCGGGAAAUGAGGCGUCGAGGGCUUCGAGGGGACCCGACAUUGCGUUGUUGGAGACGGAGAUGUAGUGGAGAGUGGCCGGGAGAGGGCGAGGAAGAGGUCCGGUGAGGUUGUUCUCGCGGAGGUCGAGAUGGAGGAGCGGGACGGCGACAGGGGGGAUUUCCCCGGAGAGACCGCCGUUGGCGGCGAGGAUUACGACCCGGAGGCUGGGUAGAGCGAGGAGGGCCGGGGGAAUGGCACCGGAGAGGCGAUUGUGGCUGAGAUCGAGCGUGUGGAGGCUGGGGAGAACCCCUAAGGAGGCCGGGAUGGGGCCGGAUAGAAGGUUUCCGCUCAAGGAAAGGAGGCGGAGCGAGGGCAGGCGGGCUCCGCCGAGCGCCUCGGGGAUGGGCCCGGAGACGCGGCCGGGGGAGAGGACGAGCUGGGUGAGAAGCGUGAGGUUGGCAAGGGAGGGUGGAAGCGUCCCGGCGAGGCCCGGAGAUCCUGCAGAACCGGCAGAUCCGAGGGUGAGAGACGUCACCCGGAGGGUCGCAUCGUCGUCGGCAGGGGAGCAGACGACGCCGGCGAAGGAGGAGCAGGCGUCGGAGGCGGCAGACGGUGAAUCCAAGCGCCACGAGGAGAAGAAGCCCGAGCCGGGGAGGUCGCGGAGGCUCUGUCUGAGGUCUAUGAGCACAUCAAGGUCCCCGCUGGUCAGACGAGCACCAAGAGCCAGCGUCUCCUGCGGCCGCUGCUGCGCGGUGGCCAACCAGGCCCCUCGCGAGACCAAGAUCACGGAGAGUAAGAGCGAGAGAAGGCUCGCCAUGGCAGCGUGAAGUCGCCCGCAGCGCGAUGGGGUCCGCGAGAGGAUUCUCUCUCCCACAGGAAGCCGGCGGAGAUGGGCGCGCGCGAGAAAUGUCGGCCAAAACAAAGGGCAGCCGCGCUCAGUCACAGGCUUUGUAAAGGCGCGUUCUUGCCAGCAGGUGUGGGGGCGGGUUGGCUCCCGUUGCCUAAUCCUCCUCUGCGUCACUAGCGUAGCAGCGCGGCCGCAAUGAUGGCUCUCACAGGGGGGAGGGGGGGUUUACGGUCGUCGUACAGCGGGACGAGGGGGCACGUGGUGGAAGUUGGACGGACGCCGAAUGGUCCUGCGCCGUUGCAUGUUUCCAUGUCCCUUCUGUUGCGUGACGACACGGCCAACUGGCCGAGAAAAGACAAGGCAUGCUUGCUUGCUUGCCUCGCCUCGAUUCCUUUGCCCGGGCCGACUCCCCGGCGGCUUGCACACGCGGCACGGGGGUUUCUGCUGCCCAGGUUAGGUUCCGCGCUUGGAGAAGAGGUGGGUGAACAGCGACACACAGAGGGGUGGAGGGGCCGGCCUUCCGGCCAGGGAAUGGAUGUCCCGGCAAGAACAGGGAGAAUCUGUGGAGCCGACGCCCGCCCGACGCGGGCUCGCCCGGCGCGCAAUGCUAGCAACUGCAGCAGGAAUUGGGGAACUAAGCCAGAACGGAGCUCGAGCUCCCUCCCGAGGGAGGUCUCGCCGGAAUUUCCAAGAGGGGAUCUUGGAAAGAACUCAAAUAUUGGAAGUCCCUUGGAGGCGGGGGGCCGGUCGCCGACAGGCCUUUUCGAACUCGCGCUUCAAAAUAUAUCAAAGUUGGAUUUGUUGGAACCGACUUGACGGUCUCAAGCUCUUUUCACUCCCUCGUCACUGCUACUGCAUAGAUUAUGCCGUGCUCCGUCCUUCCUUGACGGGGCCUCCCCUGCCCUCUUCCCUCCCCUCGACUGGCGAUGCACGGCUGCGCGCCGCCGGCCAUGGCAUCCUCCGAGCCCUUCCCUACCCGGCCAGCUCGGUGGAGAAGCGCCAUUUGCGGCGGCGUGUCUGGGCUUCUCCAGUAGUCAAGCCUGUUGGGGUUCAGCUUUGUUGGCUCUCGCUCGGACCAGGGUCAAACUGGGUCCGACUCCACCUAAUAUUUCACUCAAUAUUCUACUUCUAUGCAGAUGGGUUGGUGCGACCCAUCAUAAAUAAUUAACCCGCUUGCUCAAAUCUGCUCCUUGCGGAAGUCGAACCAGCCCGACCUUAAUAAAAUACGGCCGACCGAUCUGGUGAUAAAAUACGGCCGACCGAUCUUUACUAUUCUUAGGUGCAUAGUAGCAUGUGCUAACGGCCAUAUUCCACGGCUGCCUAGGCUGCUAACAUAUUGCUUUGUUCUUAGGCACAAAUCCUAACCCAGGUUUGAAGUAACGGAGACUGAUUUUAUUGUUUUACAUGCUCUGAGGGCAUUGGUCCAACGGUGGCUGGUAAUGACGCUCUAACAUACGCGAAGACAGAGAAACUUAGCAAGCUCUGUCUGGGAGGGGAAUCACUCCUGGAUGAUGAUUUGAGUGGGUUAAACUGUUCUUAAAAAAAAAAAUGGUAGAACGCAAUGAGAAAAUAUCGGCAGCAUCAAAUAAGUUUAAGGAAAAAUCGGAAAAGUUUUGCUAUAAUGGGUCCCAGAUAAGUGUAAACGUCAGAAAAGCUUUGGUAGUUUUGCCGACAGUCACCGCUGUUCAUCGAUUUGUACUCCAUUCAAGGUAAAACCGGAAAUGAAGAACAACGAUGCGAGCUGGUGAAUAAACUCUGUUAUGGUAUGAACCCCAACAUGGCUAUUAAAUGAGCAUUCUUAUUGAGGAUAAGAUAUCCUAUUAUUGAGGGCAGCCCCAACAUGGCUGUUAGCUCGAAUCAUUAACAAAAAUGUCGUGGAUGUCACUCCCCUGGUCCCGGUGAUAUUUAUGCCUGUCUCUCUCCCCACCAAAGUGUCUGGAACUUUUGGCAUAUGACAAUAGCUCGUGGGCCUGCCUAUCUCAUCUUUGGUUGGAUCACUCUCCGCAAUUCUCGCGGAAGGCUCUUCUUCUUCCUCGACGUCAGUAUACUCUCAUCUCUGCCAGACGGCUCUCCGAACACCGACAGCGGCGAUAAAUGCGAAUAGGGAGUUCUCAGCGCAUUGCUUGUUAAUACCCCAUGUGGGGUUAAAACGUUUGGAAGAACGCGGUUGUGUGAGUAACUCACAGUAGUGGUGCACUGACGAGAGGAGUUACUCGCCUGCAUGGAUCCUCAUCAUGUGGGCAUUUAAGCGCUGCCGCUGCUACUGCCAUCGUAAAGGACCUGACGGCAGGCCGCCGUUCAAGGGCUCCGACCAGUCGGUCGCCGAGCAUAGAUGCUGAGACGCGUAUUGUUUUCUGUACUUUGCCUGGAUGUGAAUUGUGGCCGUCACCGCAGAAGAAAAUUCGCCGUUUCAGCCUCCCAAGCCUGAAAACUUGACGGCGUACGUAAAGCGCCGCCGGUGGAUCAAGAAUGGAGCAAGUCUUAAAGGUCAACUGAGGAGUCAGCGUGGCUGUCAACGACAACGAGGCGAACGUUUGAAGGGGGUGAAGGGGGAGAAGGGGGGGACCUUGUUGAGUGAGCAGACAACCACAACGGUCUUCAUAUUAAAUGCCAUCACAUGAUCCGCUCUUGGCGCGAUGUAUGAACUUAUAGCCAUCAUUGCUUGCCGGUCACUCUCGCAAGUACCCCCCGGCACAAGAUCAGUCAGUCUUUCGGCUCUUCCCUUUCCCACCCUGCCGACAAGGGAGAUAAGGCCACGAACAUGCAUCAUGAAACUCUCUCUCUCUCUCUCUCUCUCUCUCUCUCUCUCUCUAUCGCUGGUAUCUAUUCAUCUUUAUCCCUGCAUCUCAUCUCAGUCCGAGUCUCCUCAAGGAAGGCCACACACAUCUCUCUCUUUCUCCCUUCAAAUCCCUCUCUCUCUAUCUAUACAGGUCAACGUGCCGACGCCGGCUUGUCUUCUACUCGUCAAGUGCGAGUUCAGAUGGGGAGGGGAUCUUAAUGAAACCUACAGAGUUCAGAACGCUUCGUGCUUCUUCGGGUUGCCUCUAAAUACUGGAGACAGCGACCUCAGUAAAUGCCAAAACGGUGUAGUAAUUGCACAAUGGAAGAGCCGAGCAGGGUCACUGCUCUUCUUCAUGUUGCUGACAACUGACGCGGGGUUCUCUUCGAUUUUUCUUCGUCUUCUUUCUUCGUAGCAUGACAUCACUCAUAAUGGUCGUCACCUCUCUCUCUCUCUCUCUCUGCCGUUUUUUCGUAGGCGGUGGUAUAAACCGUCAGUUGCUGAAGAGUUCCCUAAAAUAGGAUCAGAGUUGACUCGCACCGAAGUGUCUACGCCCACCUCAAAGCCUGAUAUCGUUGACUACAGAGAGUUUAACCAAGUAUAAGCCUGAAACUUCAGAAUUUUAGGUACGAUACCAACUGUCUCCCUACUGCUGCACUGCAGGCUUCCUGUUCGUCGACCCUACUCCAAAUUCGCAGCUGACAUGGCCCAGCUAAGACGCCUCGAAUACGGCAGGUAGUUUCGUACGGAGAGAGUACCUCUUACCAUUGCCAAUGGACUGAGUAGGCUCAUAGCUCAGCUUCGGACCGGACUUGGGUUUCUUCGUGCGCCAGGGUCUAGAAAAAUCAGGUCCUAGAAUAAGAGUAGGCUCUCCAAGGAACUGUAGGGGAGCCAUCAGCCUGCCUCCGCUUGCCCGACUCUAGAACGUGCUCUGUUGCCUAAGUGGAGACCCCCCCCGCCUCCUGCCGCGUAACCCGCGUUGUCUCCAACAUCGGCGGCUGAUAAUCCGCCUGCAUGGUGGGCUCUCCCAGGGAGGAGGAGGAGGGAAGGGGGGGAGACGCGUCGCGCAGAGUUUCACUUCAAUUCAAAAAAAUAAAUUUCAAGACUUGUGAAGAAAUUAAGGGGGGGUAGACUCGGAACGGUAAUGGUUUUGAACGGCUAAAUUGUAUUUAAUGUUCGCUAAUAAUCGAUUUCAUUCGUUCGCUGCGGCACAAGGCGAAAGAAGGGCUGGAAGCGUGAUGGACGCACGUAUCCGGGCCAUCGUCGACGCCAUCCACGCCAGCCCCUCCCAGGCUGUCAUCUACCUCGCCGGAGGUGCCUCUCAGGUGUGUCGGUCUCUCGUUCUCUGCUUCUUAGUUCCCCUCCCUGCCGCCGAUUCCCGACAACUGCAGAAUUCUGAAAAUGGCUGUUUUUUCGAUUGCUGCCUCCAGGCGCUCGGGUGGCUGCUGUCUGUUCCAGGAGCUUCUAACACCGUUCUCGAGGCUUUGGUUCCCUACUCCAAGACCUCCAUGUCCCAACUCCUCGGGAAGGUAACUCGUCGUCUCCUUCCCUAUGAAUAAUUUUCCCUAUUCGGCAUCUUCUUUCAUCUCGAACCCCGACAGCUUGUUUGCGUAUCCGUUUUAGUUUUCUCCUUUCGAUAUGUUCGGCCUGUUGUUCCAUAUUUAUCUGCCUCUUACCCGAGGAACAUUCAAACUCUGGAAUGUGGUGCGUCUGAUGGAAAGAUAAAAAGAAUCGUUUGUCCGACUACGUUUUGAUGGGGGAAAGUUUGUGAAUUAUUUAUUGAUUGAAUGUCUUGGGAUCGAACUCAACUAUAGCCUGAUAUGGCGAGAAUGUUUAUGCAACCCUGCCAAGUUUGAAUACACCUGAACCAUGUUUGGUUCCUUCGGAGUCAUUAGAUGCAACCUCUCGUUUGCAGGAGGAUGCUUUUUCCUUGAUCUUCUCAGUCUUAUUUUCUAUUAGUGGCUUCGAUCCAUUUCAAAGAGGUGGUCAUCUCAUGCAUCACAAACUUUAAGGUAUUUUGGUUAGGCAUCAGGCCUAGCUUUUCUCCCUAAACCGCCAUUGAUAGUCCACUCCAUUAGGAAAUGCAAAUCAGGCUGUGUCUUAUUGAUAUGGUGCAUCACUGGUUCCCUGGCCCAUUUUGUCUCACAAACAGCAUACAGUAAGUUUUAAACUAAAAUAGCAAAAAUAACGGACGAAUAUCUGAACAAGAAUAAAUUUCAAAGAGUGAAAACCUUACCAUAACCCGCAAUACAAACAGGGAGGAUGAAGAAAACAAAUGCUAUGGAAAACCUUACUACAUCAUCUUCUAAUUCUUUUUUAAACCAAGAAUAUUAAAAAAUUGCUUCUUUACUUGUUCUAUACUUUUAAUGUAUUAUUGAGUACCUCAGGUGGAUCCUAUCUCUGAAAACUGCAUUUAAGGUUUACAGUCUAGUCGUGUGCUACCUUAUAAUACUUGCUGGUUCACUUUAUUCAUAUGGGUUGGAUUUACAUCACUGAGGCACUCUUUGACUUAUGGAAGUUGUCCCUAGUAAAGCCCUAAACAUAGGUUCUUCUGAUCCAUAUCUCCUUCUUCACAAGUUUUGAUGUCUUAGCAAGGCCUGUGCAUAUAGUUUAAAAAUAUGUAUACUGAUAACUGGGUUAUGUUAUCACCAAACCAAUUUUAGAGCUCAGAAAAAGAGUUAUCUAAAAGUAAUAUGAAAGAUAUCUACCACUUUUGAGUUUAGAAUUCCUCUUUGUCACAUGACUGCAACAUUUUUUAUUAAAGAGGAUUGUUUUCUUCUAUCAAACCCAAGAAACGACAGAGAGCAUAAAAAAAAUGAAAGAGUAAAUAUGAAGAUUUCAUGUUAUUGCAUAUUUGAAAUCACACUUCUCUGUGUGGCUUAUAUCUUGAACUAAGCACAGAUUUCUGAUGUUAAAAGGAACUGCAUUAUUGUCUUGUUUUAGCAUAAGCCUUAAAAAUUCUCACAUUAUUGCGACCAUUUUGGUAUCUUAGCUCAGCUUAAUCACCUUUGUAGGAAGUACCCAGUUUCUUUAGGACAUGAUGAUUUGAUGCUAAACUAGGUCUAGUUUCUGUUCUUCUAAGAGGCUGGAAACAUAUAUAUUCUUGUACAAGGUGUUUCUAUUCCCGUGUGUUACUGCUGAGAAAUGAAGGCUAUCAAAUCCUGAGAGGACUGCUACAGAGAUCAACUAUGAAAAAUGUAUGAUCUAUUCAUGUACAAAGGCAGGUGUAUCUUCUUGGUUAAGAGUUCAGACAACAGUAUCUCCUAGGAUUAGGGUCAAUUAGGGGUAAUGAAAGGAUCUUAGAUUUAUGAAGAAACGACAACAAGAAAGAUCUGAUAUCUUUGCAUAAUCUUCUCAGUUAAUAUAAUAUAGCAGAGGUAAGGGAUGGUACUAAUGCUUUCCAAUCGACAGAUACUGUGUUUUCCUCAUUCAAUUUUAUUUGACGUCAGUACUUUUUGUCUUGUGGGAAUAUAUAGUUUAGCUAAUUGUAACCUGAAAUGAAUUUUCUUCUGUUGGGAGCUCACUGUUACAGAACUUCAUAGAAGUGACUAUCAGCUCAUGUACUGGAGCACUCCAUAGAACUGCUAGAUUUUAGACAAUAGGCAACAUGUUAUAAUGAUUGGAUCCCGCCUCAUCUCUUCACGAGGUUAAAUUGCACAACCAUGCUACCAGCAAGGUAGUCUACUCAACAUGUGAAUAGUGCAUAUUUUUAAAAAGGCUAUUUCUGGUCCAAAACUAUGUUGACUGAAAUUUUGGAACACUUUCUAUGGGGGCUCAUGUCAAACACCACGACAAAAGGAAAGCUUAUCCAUAGUCAUGGGACCAUCUAUUUUAUACAGGAAAACACAAGAUUCUGGGGGAAGACUCAAUAUGGUCAUGACAAUAGAUGAAAUAGUAUCAUUGCACUGGGGCGAUCUAUUUCAGUAUCUUUUCUGUAGUGUAUGUCAUAUAGUUUCAUUUUAGAUUAUUACUAAGUUACAUUACAAUGUGACCAUACUUUAGUUCACUUGCUGUUCAAGUUCUUGGUCAAGUAUUGUAACCUGCCAAUAGAAUUUACCCAUUCAAUUCAGUGGUCUGGGUCAGGUGAAGAUUGACUGUCUUGAUUGGACCAUAUGUUGUGGUGUAAUGUUUUCAUGUGAACUAUCAAAUAAUCCCCCUCUACAAUGGUCUUGGGUUUUUCUUCAUAUUGAAUCCCUCUGUAACCUCCCAUGUCCUCUAUAUGUUACAGGCCCGUUGGCAAAGCUUAUUGUACAAAUUAUCAUAUUAUUUCACCAGAAAAACACUGUUAAAAUGGCUGAAAUUGCAAUAUAUCAUAAAAAUUAAGCUUAAUGACUAGGGUCGUUAGCUCACUGCCAAAUCUCUAACUCUGCAUACAGAUGGUAAGAAAUACGGAGUUCUGCAAUUAACCCUUAUACCUUUCACCAAUUCUUCAGUUUGUAUGUUGCUUGUAUGUAUUUACCAUCAGUUGUCAAUCUUUCAGCAGAAGCAAGGAGCUCAUUCUACAGUACUCAGAGAAAUAACCCUAAGAAGAUAAUAUUAUAAGCUGAUUGCUGUGUUAAUCAUUCUAUGAGUAUGGUGUUCUGAAAAACAGUCAGUCUCUUUUGGUAUCAUCAUAAGGCAUGCAAGUAAAAUAUCUUGCAAUUUAUUUCUCUCUUUCGUCAAUGAUCAUCCAAGAGGAGAGAACAGAGGUGGCAUUUUCUAGCCAUAGUAUUUUCUGUUGUUUUUUUCUUCUGCACUUUGUUUCUGGACGGCAACAUUGGCCUUUGUCGCCACUUUCAACAUAAUUCUGUCAUAGACUGCUUUGAAAUAAGAAGUCACAAAAAGAGCAAGCCGUUAGAUUAUUGCCUAUCGAAGUUUGUUCGCAAUAUCAUUAACACUUGCAUAGCAUUAGUUAAGAUGAUCUUCAGCAUAACUUUUUUGAUUUAUCAUCUAUUUCCAUCAUGUCUUUCUUUUUACCUUCACUUCCUUGGAUUAUCCCAUGAUUUUUUUCCUUUAUUAUUCUAAUAUUGCAUCUCUUUUUGUUGAUGUAUGCCCUUUUCUUUAAGCUUGCAUUCCUUCAAAAUGACUGCCCAAUGGUUCUUUAAAUAUUUUUUUAUUUUUCUCCCUCGUCAGUUUGAUUCUGCCAGUCUGCUCCUAAUUUUAUCUCUUCAGGCCAGUCUAAUUUGCAAAUUUAUAGCAAAACAGUAUGUGGGUGAAGGUUAUGUCUUUCUGUGGGCAUUUUAUUCGUUCUUAUUCACAGACAAGUACAGACAUACUGGACAACAUAGAAAGUAGAAGAAAUCUAAGGUCUCAUGCCAUUAAAAUCAUGCAUCAUUAAUAAAGUUUACUUUAUUCAGUUGGCUGAAAAAUAUGAUAGACGUUGACUUGGGUAUGUGUAAAUUGCCAAAGAAAAUGAUGAUGUUAAUCAGUAACUUUGAAUGAUAAAUUCUGAUAAUAGAAAGUGGUUGGUCGUGGUAACUUAAAUGAAAGGAUUUCAAUGUUACAUAUUGUAUGUGGGAUUUGUUACUCUGUUUCCUACGUAAUGAAUUUUAGGUUCCUGCGCAUUUCACUAGCCAAGAAGUUGUAGAAGAAAUGGCAAUGUUGGCCUACAAUCGUGCAUUGAAGCUGUCUAGACCAGGUUCUUGUUCUUCAAUGGUUUUCUAUAACACUAAAUCAUAACAGUGUUUUUCUACUUCAGUUAUCUGCUUCAUUCAUCCUUUCAUACCUUUCGUUUAUCUGAUAUCAAACGGAGUUGGCUAAAGUUUCAUUCUUUUGGCUUCAAAUGAAUUUCUCCUUGAAGGCAUUGUUGUUUAGAUUUUUUUGAAGUGAUGUUACAAUAUUGAAUAAGUUCUUAAUUCAUUAGUUUCAAUUUCAUCAUGUUGAUAGAAAAAGGGGAUGAGAAGACACCAUAGAUGUGGAGAUGGCCAGUUUUUCGAUGAGAAGACACUUGUACACCUGGUACAAGUGUGCUUAGGAUACAAAAUUAAAGAUAAAAUAGAAAGACAGAAACACCCUCAUGUUCUUGGCAUUUUCUCUCGAUAAAAUUAUGGAUACUUAUCAUGUUGACCUUGCACAAUGUGUGUUGAAGUCACCUUGUGUAAAUCUGUCAAUCUAAAUAACUAAACAUUGGCCAUUUUGUUGAGGCAGAGAUAGGCAGUGGAAGACUAGCACCAAAAAAGGGAGAGUACAGGAGGAGGAAGAGAUAAAAUGAGAGAAUAUAAAUAGUCUUACCAUGGGCUGUAAGGCCCUUGGUACUUAUACAUAAACCCUUAGAGGUAAAAUCAUAAAUGAUAGAAAAUAAAUAGAGAAACAGAAGGGGGAAUAUAUCUGACAACACUCCCCCUCAAGUUGGUGAAUGGAUGUCAUCCAUGCCCAGCUUGCCACAUAGUUCGUAGAAGCAUAAUGAGGAGAGGUCCUUCAUGAAGAUGUAUGCCUGCUGUUGAGUAGAUGGGAUAUAUGGAGUAAAGAAAUCUCCUGUCUUGAGUUUUUCCUUAAUAAAGUGGUGAUCCACUUCGACGUGCUUCAUGUGGUCAUGCUAAACUAGAUCAUGGGUGAUGUUGAUGACUAAUUUUUUGUCUCAUAAUAGUUGAACUAGAUGAAUGUAUGGAAGUCCAAUUUCAGUCAAUAGUUACUUGAUCUAAAUAGCUUCACACAGACCUUGAACCAUUGCUUGGAACUUAGCCUUUGCACUUGACCAAGCAAGAAUUAGUGAGCUUUACUGACUCUACUUUUAUUUUUUUUCACCCUAAAGGAAUGAUUUAUUUGGGUUCAAUGGCUUUGAUAUUCUACUUUAUGGGUAGAAAAGAUACCCGAACAUUUUUUUUCUUUAUCUACAGGAAAUAGUGAUGUAGUUUCCAUUUGCCAUCAUGAGAUCAACCUCAAUAAGGAUCAUCUUUCUGCCAGAAUAUCUAUUUAAGAACUAUUUAAAUAUUUUUUGGCUGUCAUUAUAUUCAUUCUCUUUCAUAAUCUAUGGAAGGUGCAUUAGCUGGUGGUGGAACAACGAUCAAUUUAUGAGCCAGCAUAAUCUGUGUCCGUGUUGACCUCCAGGCAGAGUUGAGCAUCCUGCCAGAAGAGUAUCUUGUGGCCCACCGUACCUUUGAGGUAACAAUGUGUACGAGUGGCAGCAUGGAGGUGAGGUGCUUGAGGAGCAUGCAUGAAUUGACUCAAAAUGUUGAUCGUGUAGGCAAUGUUGGGUCGAGGGUAGGUGAGAUAGAUGAGCUUGCCGACCAACUUCUGAUAAGACCCUUGAUCAAUAGGUUCCGUAUUUGCAACAUCUACCAAGCGAUGAUUAGUUUUGAAUGAAAGUAUCCAGUGGUUGCGAAGCUGAUUUGUCAAGUUCUUGAAGAAGGUCUAGUGUACUUAUACUAGCAGAUAAAGAUACCCACAACACUAUAAGCCACUUCUAGUCCCAAAAAAUACUACAGUAAGCCCAGAUGUUAGAUCUCAAAUACCAAGGCCAAUCAGUGAGCAAGAGAUUGAGCCUCAAUAGUGUCGCUCUUGGUGAUGAUGAUAUUGUCAACAUAUAUUAAGAGGAGAGUGACUCCCCCUAACAAGGAAUGGUGAUAGAACAUAGUAUGAUCAUCAUUACUUCGUUGAUAACCAAAAGACAUUAUCAAGAUGGUGAAGUGACCAAACUAGGAGGGAGGUGACUAUUGAGGCAGUAGAGCACCUUGUUGAGCUGACAAACAACUAGAGUUGACAAGGAGAUCCAGUAUCCAGGAGGAAGUGUCAUAUAUAUAUCCUCUUGAAGGUCCCCUUACAAGAAGACAUUCUUGAUGUCGAAUUGCUGCAGGGCCCAGUCAAAGUGAUGAGCCAAAGUAAGGAAAAUACAGAUUGUGUUCAUCUUGGCUACUAGGGCAGAUGUCUCCUGAUAAUCAAUACCAUAUUAUUGAGUAUAACUAUUGGCAACCAAAUGAGCUUUGUAAUACUCCACGAAGCCAUCAGAUUGAUACUUCAUGGUAUACACUCAUUUGUAGCCAACAACAUGUUGUCUCAUAGGAAGAACAUGUUAGCAUCAGGUUUAAUUUUUCUCCAAAGCCAGGAGCUCCUUCGCCAUAGCUUGAUGCCACUCAAGAGUGUUUGGAGCUUCAUUCAUGGUGCGAGAGAUAGAAACAGUGUCAAGGGGCAUGAGGAAGGCAUGAUAGGAGGGAGAAAGGCGAUGGUAGGAGAGGUAAUGUGCCAAGGGUUCAAGAAUUUGAGGAGGCUGGGGGGGAGUAGGGUGAGAAAUUGGGACAGAAGAGAUGGGUGGACUCAAGUCAGAAGUGGUGGUGGACUCAGGCCAAAGACUGUAGGUAGAUGAGGGGCACAUUGGAUGUAGACUUGGCGACCAAAUUGAUGCAGUGGUUAGGGGUGGACAGAAGGUUCAGAGGCUGGGAGGGUUUCAGAGGGAGCAGAAGGUUUAGAUGUUUUGUUGUAUCAUGUUUUUCUGUAUUUUUUGAUAUUUUUGCGUACCUUGAAAUUGCAAUAUAACUUCAUGUACAACUUCAUUCAGACAUCUUGGAUAAAAUCUUAACCCAUAGGUACCUAUCAAUUUUAUGAGCUAUUGCAUAAUAUUUUGUUUUUGCACUUGAUGAGACUCACAAAAUUUGCAUCCCUUCUCAAAGAGUAUAUCUCCUAUGAUCUUGAGUACCACAAUCCAUUACUUAGAACUAACUGAUUUAGUAUAUCCUAACAUUCUUCCUAUACCUUACCCAACAAGACCUUUUAUACGAUUUAGAAGUAGUCAAUCCCUUUUCUUUGCAAGAAUAUGAAUGAAGUUUAUUUUGUGACCCCAGUGUAGAAUCCUAAUUCACCCUCCUUUUGAUUCCUAUAAUGACUUGGGACCAACAUUAGGUAGAUGAUCAUCAAGCUGAAUGGCUCCUUUCUCAGUGAUAAUAUCUUUUUUUCUUUUCAUAGUAAUCGCCUUUUUGAACUUCAGUUGAAGGAAUAUGUAGAAAACAACGCAGAGGUACUUAUCAUAUGGUUUGCAGCUUUAAAGUUGAUAACCAAAAGUAAUGAUAAGAUGCAUAGUAGCAUUGAGGGCAGAUUUGUUUAAGAGUAGUUUGAAGUAAAGGUUUGGUGGCGCCCUUAUAAAAUUUUAUUCAAGUUUGAGUCAAUCUUCUGUUUGAAGCUUGGUCAGGAUGUUAAUGAAUGAAAUAAGUUAAGUAUUCAUUGGCCGAUGCAUACAGAAAAUAACUUAUGGUGUAUGCAAAAUUUGAGGUAGAACUUGAUUUUUGAUCCCUGACAUUAAAGUAUCAGCACUUGUGUAAAGUGUCAACUGAUGAAAACUAAGUGUGAACAUUUGAGGCAAAAUAGAAACUGGAAAAAAGCAGGGAGAAGCGACCCCUAUACCUUAGGUGUUGACACUUGGAUAUGUGUAUGAUAUAAAGCUCAAAAUUGUCAGCAUGUAUAUAAAGAAGAAAAAUAAGUUUCGAAGGUGAACCCAUCAUGAGGGGGGAUCGUCACACAAUUAUAGCUUGUUGACUAACAGAUUGACUGCUAGCUUUUCCGAGUUGAAUUUCCAAUUUUUACAUCACCAUGCUUUGGCUUGAUUUAGUUUACCUAUCCCUAGUUUAUUACAAUAAUGACCGUAAACUUAGGAAAUAUAUGCUAAAUCUUUAAAAGAAGGGCUCUUGGGUUAUUGUUUACAACACUAUUAUGUUUUUGAAGUUCAUGGGCUUCCUAAUGAUUGUCAACUUUAUGCAACUUUAUGUUCUCUUUUCCUUGGCUUUAUUUUUUUCCUUUCUUUCUAAUGUUUGCAAUACGUUCCUUUUUUGGUUAAAGCACCUUUUUUCUGACCGUGUGUUGCCAUAUAUCAUGUAUUUCAGUUCUGAGCUGAUGAACAAGGGAUACCUUGUUUUCCCAGAAAAUCUCUUUUUGAAGCUUCCACGCCUCACAUCUGUCUUCAUAGAAUCAUGCUAACAGAGAUAAUUAACUCGGAUGUCAUAAUGCUGUUUUUGGGAAGCCACUCGUCAUCUUUCAAUUCUUCUUACUUUGGAUAUACAUCUUCCUAUUUAUGUAUCCUUAUUUACCAUAUAUAUUGCUGAAAUGAUAGUCUGCCAUAACCCAGUGCCAACAGACGACAUGCUAUUAAUAACACUGGAGUUUCUAGAUUAUCAAGGUUCCCAUCACACCAUUUAACGUGAAACUCUGUCCUCAAGAACAGUCAGCGCUUGUUGAUGAAAGAAGAGGGUGAUACAACCUGUGGCAGGCCAUUGGAAAACCUUUAGCCUAAUCGGCCUAGAAGACAGGGCAAAUAGGACCAGCCUUGACCCCUUCGCCCUGAGUGAGUAAGUUGCUAAAUUGUGGGCAGUACACAAUUAGCAGUGGAAAGAAAUAAGAUAAAGUUGUCCCCUUGGAUGGAAACUCUGGCAGUCAAAAACUAAAAAAGAGAGAGGAAGGCAUGAUGGCCCUCUUGAUCUUGAUGCUACAAUGUGUCUCAAACUCCCUCCUUGAUAUGUUUUUGUUACACUUCUUCCUUAAUCCAUCAAGGCAAAUCUUCUGAUUCCAUUUUCAUUGAAAAGGAAAAGAUGAAGACUCUAAAUGAGAGGUAACGAGCGAAAAAAUAGCAUGCCUCUUGCUUAUAUGUUGGGUCGCAUCUAGCUUCUAUUACUAGUUUUAAUUCCUAUACUGUGGCGGCUUAUAACUUGCACCUCAUUCCGUAUCCCACGAUCACCUAGUAUGUCAAAAGCCUAGGAACUUCUUAAAAUUUCUUGAAACACGGACCCAAUCUUUUUAUCAAUAGGGUAAUCCUUUAACAGAUGGUAUACACUUACACUGUCUUACAAUGGGCAUUAUGGGUAAAACCUAAUAAGUAAUUAAAGGAAAAGAAAAAGACAAAUGCCUAGUUAUGAAUAGUAUUGCACAAUUUCAUGCAGGUAUAAAAUUUUUAUUUCUUAAUAAAAUUAAAAAUUUUAAACAUUAAAGGUUAAGCAUGAUAAGUGUAGUGCCAUGAUGAUGCUAAUAAUUUUGAGUCUUCACAAGAGUUGCAUUUUUUAAUUGAUAUCUUUUAUAAUGGCAAUUCCAUGAAUAGAAACUAUUAAAUAAAAUCUGCAUGAGAUUAAAUUUUUAUCACCCCCCCUUAUUUCGGUUUCAAGGAUAUACUUUUGGUGACGGCCUAACCAUUAACGUGGAAUAUAUAAUGUUGUAUAGCAGUCAGAUUCAAAUUAUAAGUGCAGCUUUAUGGAUGAAUAUUUGUUAACUUAAUACUCAAAGUUCACAUCCUUACUUUAGAUUUAUCCACCUUUUCCCAGGUUUCGCAACUGUGCGUCAUGGAUGUUACUGGAAACAGGAUUCCUCUAAAUUCUUAAGAUGGCACUGGUAUCAAAACGGAUCAAUACAUUUAGCUACAAUCGAAUCAUAACAAGCAUAAUGGAAAAUUCGAAACUGAGGGCAGGAAUUGUGGCCGACUCAAAAUUGAAAUUAAAAACGAAGCUGAACUGAAAGCAAUGGAAAAAUAAGUCUAGCAUAUGACUGACAGUAUUUGCAUGGUUACCAGGAAUUAAGAUGACACUGCUUGUAGCGGAAAAAAAUAUAACUCAUUUGAAGUAGUGUUCAUUUGCCUCAGGAAUCUGAUGGUGGUAAUAAUUUACAUUGUUGUAUUGUGGUGUAUUUCAUAUUUGUGUUUGUAUUUAUAAAACCAUUGAUUUUAUAAAGAUUUCCAUGUAGGUUUUGUGUGUGGAUUGUAUUCUUGGUUGCUGAUCCAUUGUAAAGAUUAUUGUAUGUUUUUCUUUGGAUUUUUGUUUUGCAUGAGUUCCCUAGAUGCGAAUUCUUGUAUUAAUGACUCACAAAGAGAUUUAGUGGGUUUGAUGUCCUUGGACAAAAUUUGAGGUAGCAUUUCCUAGUUUCUUUCUGUUGAUUCUGGCUUAUACUUGCCUUUUAUGUUUAUUAACUGUUAUGCUGUGAAUUAUAAAGUUUUAAAUAUUGUAUUUCAACUCAUGUCAUAGUUAAACAACUCCUUGGCAGGUUGUCCAGUUGUGGGUGUGGGCUUUUCCGGCUCUUUAGCUAGUGUAGGUCCAAAACGUGGAGGGCACAGGUAUUGAUUUUCUGUCUGUUUAUUCGUUAGCAUAAUAGAGAAACUCCAGAUCAACUUGCUUGCACGUAAUAGUUCCGUUUGUGCACACUUCUUCACAUUCAGUUUCAAAUAACAUAUUUUACGAACUAAUUUUAAGAAUUCAUCUAGAAACAUCACGAACAUCAUGAACUAUUAUAUGCUAGUUCUACAUUUCUUUUGGUGAUUGAUUACCAAACUCUUUUUUCAAUGAUGAGCUUAUAAAGCUUGUGUAUCGAUGUCAUUAUGUUGUCAUUUUAAUAAGCAGUGAUCUUACUGCCCAUUUGGGGUAGAUAAGUAACUUGCAUCUACGAACUGUUCGUAUUGGAAGUGGAAAAUUGCGAAAACUAAUGUGUACAUGAAGGUGGUUUCAAAACUUUCUAAAGUGCCAAUUGGAGAAAAAUGUUUUUCGAUUUACGGUGGAAAGGCAUUGACUUUACGCCUUGAGUAUGCCUGAUAUGAAUUUUAUAUUUAUUUCCUAGAUGCUUUUCGCUGAUUGUCACUUAACAUUACAAGGUUUAUUUUAUGAAAUAUGCCAACAUUUUUCAUAUGCGGUCAGGAUGAGCGGGAGCUUGUUCCCUGAAUUUGUGUCUAUUUAUCGUUAAGUAGCUCUACUGCAAUCGGCCAAAAGCUGCCAACCUUCUACAUUUUGUGCAUCUUACUUCUAGAAAAAUUUUGGAGACCUGUGUAGCUAAGUGAUUUGUUCUUGUUUGGAAUGUCUACUCUUUGUCAGGGAUGGCAGGGACAGAAAUGGAUUUGUGGACUUUUCCAUACAUCAUAGUAAUAUCUAUCGAAAAAUAGUGAGAUUUUCUAUGGAUAUGUGAUGUUUUAUUGGACUAUAAAGGUCCUUGACGGAUGAAAUGAGGAUUCAUCACAGUCAACUUCUAUCGUUCUAAAUUACUCAAUUUGGUAGAAUGUGCCCUUGUGAUUACUUUAAUGGUGAUGUCCAUUUGAUGCUGUGCUCCCAAUCCUAUUCUUUAUUUUAGGACCUGAAUUCUCUUUUCUGCUUCAUCAUAGAGUAGAUUUCCGAAUUCAUGCUUAUAUCUUUGUUUUCGGAUUAUUUUCUAGUUUUUUCGAUUCAAUCUCGUCUACGUAAUUACAUUACAUGGAAUAUUUAGUGUUUUAGUAUCUGCUGCUUAAAAAAUAGGAUUACAUGAAUUUACUUUCCACUUCAUUGUCAGGACCAGAAAACAUCCGGUCAAACACGACCGUCUACUUUUCUUUUAUCCAUGAAUUCGAGUUAUUACAUUCUGUUUGCAGGUUUUUCUUAUCAACAAGGACAUCCGGUCGUCUGUGGGCAUCAAAUGUUACCUUAUGUAAGGUACUUAAUUCGUCAUCCAAACUGUCUUUCACUUUCUUUUCCUGGAAACCUUGCAAAGUUUCUGAUAUUGAUUAAUUCAUAUAGGGUCUGCGAAGUCGCGAAGAAGAAGACACGAUUUCUAGCAAAUUUUUACUGAAGGUACAAGUUACUCAAACGUACCUAUUAUUUUUUGGUAUUUAAAAAUAUUUAUUUAAAUAAAUUUCCUACCUGCCUAUUUUUUGAUCUUUGCAAGAAUUUGUAAUACCACAAGUGUUCUAAAAUUUACUCAUUUUUUGCAUUAUCACUUUUCUGACUUUUCGUGAUUUUGGAUUUGGAAAAUAAGCUUGUAAGCCAACGGGUGGUUUAUUGUUUAUAUCAUCUAAAGAGGGUAUUUUAGUUUUAUUAUCAAAUUGGUCUGGUUGUGACUUUUACCAUUUAAUUAUUUAGUUCUGAUGGCUCUAAUUUUUACCCAGAAUAGAUAAAGUUCCUGAGCUGGUGCAUACAACUGUAGUUCCUCUUCAAGUUUCUCUUGCUUGUUCAAUGCUUCAUUCACAGCUAUCAACUUCGCUAUUCCUGGAGAGAGAAGUGGGGAUGGUUUGGGUGAUUUUGUAGCUGAAUCCCAACCCAACAUUAUUACGCCGAAAAGUCCGACCUUUAACAAAAAUAAGAAUUGAAGGUAGACUUGAACCAGAAAAUUAAUGUGUCCGAACUCAACCCAUGCUACAGGCAUAUGCAGCAUUUCUUGCACUACAUUCUCAAUCCCUAUAGAAUUCUUUAGAUUUAUCUUAUUAUUACAAUUAGGUAGUCAUAUUUGCCAAACAAAGAUAAAGCAUUCCAAUUUGAGGGAAGAGAUUUUGUACACAGAAUACUGACACUCUAUGCUUCUACUUCCUACUCACUCUUGUCCUUCCAGUCUGAGGUGAUUCUACUGUGUGUUUGUCAAUUUUUCUUCUCUUUGAAGGUCCGUGCCAUGGUUUAAAAGUUAACCACUUUUCAAUCGACAGUUCAACUGAUGGCUUUAGUUAGUGUUGAUUUCUCUGGGAAGCCUCUGGAGGCACGAUAAUGAACACUAUGGAACAUUUUCAUAUUCGUUUACAAAACAUUUCAUGUUCAAAUCAUACAUUGUAAAGUUUUAAGUCAUGCCCAAAGUUGCAUCUUUAACAUGAUAUUUUAGAUAUUCGUUCUCUUUUCUUGUUUUCAAAAAAUUGGAUAUGCUUUUUUUUUCCUUUUGAUUAUUUCAUAGCAUUUCAAAUGGUUUCUCUCCUCUUGUUUAACAUAAUAUUGGUUUGAACUUUCUUCCUCGUGUUCUUAUCAUAAUACUUCUUUUUGUGCCUAUUAUGUCUAAGGCUAUUGCAGAUGCAUGCCAAGUUUGUGGUACUUCUGACAAGGAACUAACUGAAACGGAAGAUUCACAUGAAUUGGAAAAGCUGUUUGACGAGGAUCAAGAGUUACAGCAGCUUAUAAAUGGGGAAAUAUGCAUGAAAGCAUAUUCAUUUGGUAAUUAUUCAAAGAUUCCAAUGAGUUAUGUCUACAUGAGAAUAGUUAAGUUUUCCGUUUUGGAGAUAGAUCUUCUUAUUCAGCCGCAUGAACUUGCAGAUACUUGUACGUACAGUUCAGAUCAAAAGAUUAUACUUUCAGGAUCAUUUAAUCCAUUACAUGAUGGACACCUAAAGCUUUUGGAAGUGGCAUCAAGGUUAACAAUUAAUUUUAUGCUUCCGCAGAUAGAUGCAUGCAAGUUAAUUGGAGAUCCUUAGUAUUUGUCUCGAUCAUUUCAGUUGUAAAGAAAAAAGCUGGAUCUUUUUCAGGAUUUUCUUCAAAGACAAAAUUCAUCUGCCAUAUGGAUGAGACUCUAUCUUGAUGAUGACCAAUUAUUAUUGUGACAUCAAAAAAUUUAGCUACAUAUAGACACCUGUUUAUGAUUCUAUCAUGAAGUCAUCUCUUCUUACCUAAUUAACAAUGUGAGAACAUGCAUGAUUAUGAAAUAAUAAACUUGUUAUAUCUCUUUUAUAUCAGCUUUUUAACAUUCUAACUAUUUUUUAUUUUCUGUAGUAUGCUUUGCAAUAGGGUUCCGUGCUUUGAGAUAUCAGUUGUAAAUGCGGAUAAACCACCAUUAUCAAUAGUUCAGAUCAAAGAGCGAGUGAAUCAAUUUAAGAAAGCUGGUGUGUUCUUUUCUUUCGCUACUUGUUUAGUGCAACAUAUUUAGUUUUAAUUUGAAUGAUUGAUAAUGAUUAAUAUUUUAUAGGAUUUUUUACAUUCUGUGUAUUUUGUUUAGAUUUACGUCUAGUAUUCUCACUUCUAUUUAAAAGACCAGAUCCAAUGUGAGAUACAUUCUUCAUAAGAAAUGUUGGCCCAGGCAUGAUCAUUGGCACUAAAACUAAUAUAAUGAAACGAAAAACAUAAAUCGAUAUGAUAAUUUAAAAAUACUAAAUAUUAAAUAUUAUGGAAAAAUUAAGACUGUGUAACAGAAACCAAUAAAGGUUUAAAAUUCAGGUCAAUGAUUGUUCUCUUAUAACUCAUAACCAUGAAAUGUAAGAGCAGGCGAUCGUCAAAAAAGUAUCGGUAACGCAUGAGCAGACAACCUUGCUUAAAUACCAUGUAGAAACGUCAGCUGUCAGAUUACAAACUUCACCAUUUAUGAAUUAAAUAGUAAAUAAUAGGGAAUAAUUAAUACUGUGUUGCCAUAAACCAUCAAAGUUUAAAAUCCAGGUCAAUGAUUGUUCUUUUAUAACUCAUAACCCCGAAAAUGUAAAAGAAGACAAUUGAUGAAAGUAGUAUCAGUAAAGCGUUGGCAAACUAUCUUGAUUAAUAACAUGUACAAAAGUCAGCUGUCAGGUUACAAACUUCAUUAUUCAUGAACUAUUUCUGUUUUCGCAUAGUACAUUCUUUAAGAUGCUCAAUGAUUGGAUUACUGACUUCCCAUGUUUCGCAUUGAUAAUAUUAUAUAAAUUGCAUGCCAAGUUUUAGAUUACUCAUUUUAUCACAUCUACAUUUCUAUUUUUUUCACAAAUAUGUUCAAGGCAUUGCCUAAAUGAUGCAUUGCCCCAGGCUUCUAGGUUCACCAGUUGAGAACCUGCUUGGGUGCUCGCCAAAGUUGCCUUACCUCUGUUCUCCAACUCAUAUUGUUGUCAUCGUAGCUGCAAAAAACUAUUUGCUCUGUUCCAUGGCACAUGCUGUUUAACUGCAGUUGAAUGGACGCCAUGUAAGCACAAUCUAGUGGUGAUUUAAACCGUUAAGAUGAUAUUUAUUGCAUAUAUUAAUAUUUUAUAAAAAAUUAUUUAUUAAAUGGAGUUAAUUGUUUUAAAAAAUCGUGUUUACUUAUUGUUCUGAUUUAUAUUAGUUACUUUAAUAUUUAGAUAUUCCACGCGUAAAAUGUUGCUUUAUUUUAAGAAAACGGAAUCUAUUCAUAUAGCUUAAAGGAACAAUGACUGUCACUCAUUCAAAUUAUUUAUUUUAGAUUUUUGUAUGGUAUCAAUGCUCUUUGACACCCAAAGAUAUUCUUUUAUAGCCAAAGAGAAAAUACCUAGUUCACUGACUGUUAUUGAUUGUUUCUUCUACAGUUUAACAAUAAAUUAGAGGUUCUUGCCUUCUUGGGUUCAUAAGUUUACUGUCUGGAGAAUUCAACAGUUUGAUUUGUAUAUGUGUAAACUAUGCGAUAAUUAAGUAAUUUUCGUAGUACCAUGGUGAUUCGUUUCUCUACGCAGGGAAGACAGUGAUUCUAACAAAUCAGCCGUAUUUCUACAAAAAGGCUGAGUUGUUUCCUGGUAGUGCAUUUGUUAUUGGUGCAGACACUGCCGCACGGCUUGUUCAUGUAAGAAAUCUGAACUUGCUGUGUGUGUUGUUCAGACAAUACCACUAGAGGCAUGUAUGCUCGUUUUUGUCUAUACUUCAUGGGAUUGAUAAUUAUCAUUUUGCUAUAUAUAUAAUGAUUUUCAACCCUUCAUGUUUUUCUUUCUUUGUUAGACCCAUUAUAUAUAAAAUUGUUUUGCACUAUAUGAUGAGAUGGAUUGCUUUAAAAAUAUACUACUAUGCUCGUGAGUAUGGGUAGAAAUAACAGUACGAUGUUAGCUAUUGUCAUACAUUUACUCUUGUUGUUGAUAUGAAAAUGGUUAAAACCCUUUUUGCACUUGUUGUCUCUAAAUUAUAGCCCAGAUUUCAAAUGGGUACAAAAAAUACCUUUUUAAUGGUGACGUGAACGAGGAAGUGUUCAUGACGUGGCAAUUGGGAAUAACAUGGGACUCAUCACACUUUAUUUCAAGCAUGAUUGGUAUGCUCGGACAGAGUCAUUGAUUUGAGGACUACCGUUCUACAUUCAUAAUUUUAAUGCAGCCAACAUGAUCCGUCUCUCUUUUGAGAAUGGUCGUCUAGUGGUCUUGCUCUUCUUAUUACAUAAGUUAAUGGUACGUUGAUUGCUGUGGAUGAUUCCACGAAACGGGGCAUGUUAAAAAAAUUUUCAAUAGUCAUUUGGGAUAAAAGAUGUGGGCUAUUCAUUCACUUCUUGGGUGAAGCGCAUAGAUCUCCAGUUCUAUUCUUUUUGAAUCACCGCAUUCUUGCAAAAUUUGAUUUAUGUCGCUUGAUCAGAGAACAUCACUGAACUUAAUUCACGUAUGGAAACUAAUCUUUGGUUGAAAACUUAAGAUCACUUUCUAACUUUUGUAACCUUUCUUAUCUUUUAAUUUUACCGGACCUGGUAUUUCCUAUACCAUAAAUAGAACUUUUAAUUCUUUGUCAUUUACACUUUACUGGUAUUCGUAAGAUUGCUGACUACCUGAAAGGCACUCCUAAUCAUGGAUUGCUCUUCCCAAGUGGGUCUCUUCAAUCCUUGAGUCUAUAGGCUGUUGCAGAUUUGUGUUGCUAUCCUAAUCUGAGAUGGUUUUCAUUGAUUGGUGUGGCUGAUAUGACAUUAUCUGAUUUCAUGGAAGUUCAAGAAACAAGAUUGGGUUACCAAGCUGUUAAUUGAAAUUGAAUGUAGAGCCGUGUACGAAACACGCUUUGAGGUCAUCUGAUUGUGUGGUUUACUUCUAAAAUUAGGUUUCCUUCUUAAUUGUGCUGACUUCUUUACAUGCUAACAACACAAGUGCUAUUCAGAUUGCUGAAAAUACUUGUUUCACAAGUGCACAAAGCACGUUGAAAUCAAUUAGUAUUACAUUUCGUGGCACUUUGAAAGACUCAUCUCUACUAUAUUUACCUUAUAAGGAGCAGAUUGUGUCUCUCUUCACAGAGGCUUCGAUAUCUGAUCUGCAUCAACCUCUUUCCACCGAAACAGAUGUCUUCUCGAAGCCUUUGAUAUUUGAUCAGCAUCAAUCACUCUCCUCCGAAUUCCUUCUAAAAGAGUCAGCAUCAGUUUUAGGGAGAGUUGGAAUGCGCUCCAUGUAAUAUGGGAUAGAAGGAGAUUUAAUGCUGUUAAUAAUGAGCAACUGGUUGGUUUCUGUUUUUAACCUUUACCCUAUUUAGGGAGAGUUGUGUCCACCUGUAUUCUAUUAUUGCUUGCUUCUGUAAAAUAUUAGUUCACUCUUUUGUUUAUACAAAGUCCAUAAAGAGGCUCUGAGAUCUCAUAUUGGGGCAGGACGCUAUGAUCCAUUGAUCUUAUCAUGUUUCUCUUUGUCCACUGUCAUCUUCUCACCAUUGGCACCGACUCUUUCCUCACAUUGCUAGCUGUAGUCCUGUUCAGAGCUAAGAUGGUAAUUACAAGGUCACCACAUCAGCUCAUCUUCCAUUAAGUUUGUACCUGCUUUUGAAUGUGGCAUAUUAUCCUGUUUACAUAAUAUAGAGCUGUUCUGGCUCUAUUUAGUCUCUUCAGUUAUUGAGUGAAUGCUGAGAGAAGCUGGAGCUGAGUGUCUGCUUUUCUAUUUACCGUGCAAGUCCCGUCACCGAAAUUGGGUUGACCAGAAUAUCGUUGCCUCUUUUCCUCUUCUGGUGGACUCAUCCCUCCUGUCUCAACGUUCUUCUUUUUCCAUUCAUUACAUGUGCCCUUGUGUGGUGCUGUGGGUGAGCAGAAAGCCUGACCAUAACCCAAUCCUGAGAUUGGGCUCUGCAAUCUGGCUUUCUGAUGCCAUGGGCAUUGUUUCUAUCUAUCUUUGGUCCCAAUACCACACCUUGGUUGAGAGGAGACUCAAUUUGUAGCUAGAAUACAUAUUCUCGGAGAAAUUAGACCAUUCCCUGAUGGUAGAGGUCAUGGAUGAUGCCUUGGUCAGCAGAGGAGAAGACAACAGAAAACAGAGACAGGCAUAGGUGGACAUCAAUCCACCGUGUAGGGAUAUUUUUGCCUCCCAAAUCCUGCCAUGCCCUCUUUAAUGUAACCAGUCAGGCACCUAGCUUAAUCACUACUAGGUUCUAUUUUCAGUUUUUUCUGGUUAUUUUAACUGCUCGAUUUAUUCUUUUUUUGCAUCAGUUAUGAAUGUGGAUACUACGUAAUUCGCUGCUUAUUCCUCUAACUAGAUGAGGUUGAGGGUUGUAGCAUGAAAUAAUUUUCUGUAGAUCUAUCAGUCCUUAUGUAAAUUUCUGUCCCUAUUCUCAUUCUUUGUGGAAAGCUCUCUCUUUUAGAUUCUGGGGUGAAAUCUUUUAUGAACUCAUACCUGUCUUUUUCAGCCAAAAUAUUAUGGAGAAAGCUAUCACCAGAUGAUUGAAAUCCUGAAUGGCUGCAAAAGAUUAUCUUGUACAUUCCUCGUUGGUGGUCGGAAAAUUGAUGGCGAUUUUAAGGUGUGUCAUAAUGAAGUGACCUCAAAUAUUGUCAUUUGACAUCACAGAAAAGACCUUAACAAAAUGUUUAUUUAUCAGGUUCUUGACGAUUUAACUAUUCCAGACGAACUGGUGGACAUGUUCAUCUCGAUUCCCGAGGACAGGUUCCGAUUGGAUAUAUCAUCGACAGAGAUAAGAAAAAACCAUGGAAUUUGAGUCCAUUCCUACUUCUAGCUUUGGAAUGUGCCCUUUUGAUGCGUUAUUGUAUGCAUCAUUUUAUCCUUGUUUCUCCAAUAUUUCUGCUUUCAUCUGUUGAAUGGAGUAUCCCCCGCUAGGCCUUGGUACACUUUCAUUAGCUUCACUUGAAAAUCACUAGUUGUCUUAUGGGAAGUUACACCUGUGUGACCUAAGUGCGUCACCACCUGCAGCCAUUGAACGAAGUUUAGUACACCAUAUUUUGCAUUACUUACCUUACUGUGCGAUCUUAUCUUGUGAAAAAUUCCAUCUAUUUGACAUGUACAUAUAUCAUACCAGUAAUAUUGAAAUCUUAUGAGGAAAAUAGUUAACUGUGUUCUGUAAAUAGGGAUCACCUACAGGUUUUCAUUUAUUCUUCCCAGCAAGUUAAAAUACCAUAACAUAUUGUACUGAGGAUUCCAUCUUUGAUUGACUACAUCACAGGUACUGUGUUUAUACGUCCAAAUAGUAGAUUCAUCAAUAUAUAAGUUUGUCCUAUUUUCCUAUUUGGUUUAUUCUUGAUUCCUAACUUGGCAGUUUAACGCAAAUAUGGAAUCCUAGUUAAUUUCACCACACUUUCUCUCUUUUAGUAGUGUGGUAUGGCACUUCACUAUAAGCCUACUUACAAUAUCUUUUUUGCACCUUUCAAUCUUCACUGGGUUAAUUAGUCUCUACGAAGAAGUUUUCUGGCACCAUUAAUUUCCUGUAAUCUGCUCAAUUUUUGUUUGAGUAGAGUUUACAUGUUAUAAUAGCCUUCUUUAGUUCAUACUCUAGAACUCUUUGUCGUAUUGUGGGCAAUCUUCAUUAUCCUCAAGUGUGAUAAUGAAUGGGCUAUUACAUCUAGUGCCCAAUAACUCAAGUUCAUCCAUCUUUCUCAUUGCCUACCAGUGUACAACCAUGCUCUCGUGAAUCUUACGGUACUUGGAACUAGGGAAUCUUCAGAAACAUCCUACUGUUGUUGUGUGCCUUCUCAAGAAGACUCUCUUUAGAGCUGCACGGUAAGCUAUCAGUUAAAUAAUAUAGUGGGAACUUAUUCCAUGCUUCUUCUUUAUGGUUGCCUCAUCCUCAAUGGUGCCUUCUUGUAGCUUCAUCCUCCGAUAUGGUCUCCUUGCAAUGGACCACACUAUAUCUAUGAUUUGGGUUUUCAAUUGGUCCAUCAUGAAAUUUUAUCAUGGAAAGGACUUUGAAAUGUAAAUCUUGUUAAUGAGCCAUGCUAAUAUGUGAGAAAGUAAAGCUACACCCAGUGAAAAACCAAUACUAAUACCAGAUGAAGACUUAAAAGUUGUUCAAUCACCGUAAAAUUACAUUGAGAAAAUUCUAUUAUGUUUCAGCCCAAUAUAAGCAAUGUGAGGCAAACUGAUUAGUACCUCAAAAUUUGAGGCUCGUGGCCUGAAGGGAUAAAAAUAUUGACUACAAACAUCUGAAGGCCCAACAUGACUUGAAGCCUAAUAUCCAAGCCAAUGGCCCAAAAUUAUGUAAAUAUUUUUGCCUAAAACUUGCAACCUAGGUGGCUUGAAAGAGUAAAAAAGUGGACUACAAGCAUCUAAAGACUCAAAAUGACUUUCAGUCCAAUAUCUAAAUAGUUAGGUCCGAAAUGUGUAAGAAAUUAUAGAAUUGUAAUUGUUCUAUUUUUCAGUAGCUUUGAUAUGAAGGUUUAAAAUUCAUCUAAUUUAUUGUGAUUGUUAUCAAGUCAAGAGGUGAUAAAUAGUAAUAUUGUCUUUCUCUUUGAGAUAUUUCUAUUUUCUUGUGCAAUCAAGCAAUCCAUAUUUAAAUAAGAAACAUUAGGUUGAUUCUUAUGGAUUCAAGAAUUGUGAAAAAUAAAUCCUCAUUGAUUGAGAAAUUUGGUACCUCAAGGAUUCAAGGCCUGAUUUCUUUACUUCUUCAACUUUCUCUAUGCCAAUUAGUUGUCUUUUAGAGAUGAUAAUUUGAAUUUCAAUAAAUAUAUUUUGAAAUUUAUUCAAAUGAAUUGAAAUUUAUCUAAUCUUUAAAUAGAGUUAAAACAUAGCUUAGAUAUCAAGUUCAAUCUUGCAUUUAAGGGGGAGGUAUUUAAAUUUUUAAUUGGAUAAAAGGUUUUAUUUUUUUCAUAUUUCUUGUAGCCCUAACUUAUUUUUAAAGUUGACAUGAGUGUAAAUUUUAUUUGUGUAUCCUUUAAAUUUUAUUUAUAUUUUAGUUUUUGGUAAUAAGGCAUUGACAUUUUGAACUGAAUUUGUUCAUGAUGUGUGAAAGGUUGAUUCUUUAUAUUCUAGGUUUUCUUUGGAAACUAAGUUGUUAGCCAUUCUUUUUAGUCAAUCACUAAUAUUAUAUAUAUGAAGUUUGUCAACAUUAAGAGAAAGUAAUGUAGUUAAGAGUUUUUAUAAAAUGUAUGGAUCAUUUCAAGCAAACAUCAAUACAAAUAAAGUAAGCAUGUCUUCAUAAAAUUUCAGGGCAGUAUUAAACAUUUUUUAUUGUAGAAAAUUAUCUUAAACCCUAGAGAGAUGAAUCAGAACAUUCUAAUAAAACCAUCCAUAGUAUGUUCAUGUGUACUUGUUUUUCAAAUUUUUUUACUUAUAAUUAGGCAUCUUGAAGUUUGGUAUGUACCUGUAGCUUUUUACAUCAUAUCUAAAAGUUGGUAGAGAGGAGAAUGAAUUUCAAAAAUAGCAAAGAACAAGAAAAUUUUCUACUAUGUUGUGGAGAAAAUCAAGAGAAUCCUAAUUAUAGAUAAAAUAUUGUGAAAAAAAUCAAAAUGAAAUCAAGAAAAAUAACAAUGUCUAUGAGAGAAGUUACAAAUGAUGAUGGGAAAUCUAUUACAUAAUUCUUCUCUCUUCUCCAAUAAGAUUCUUAACAUUGAAAAAGGAUCUUAGAGUGUGCCAGGAAGGCUUCUUAACGUCUUCUUUUUUCUUCCCAUCGGAGUUUUUUCACAAAGACUCGCCAUAGUAAGGGGGAAGGGUGGAACAAGCAAAGCACACUUGUAGAGCGCAGUACAGCGGAGAUGUCCAAUACUAUUUGGUAGCCUUUUCUAUUAUUUAAUUUAGUAUAAUGUCUACUAUUUCUUCUCUUCCUUUGUCAACCACUUAUUUACUAAGGGGUUGUGCCAAGUGUUAAUCCUAUCUAAAUAGCACAUCAUGGG